rnacentral:lncRNA from 1 species
CACAUUGUUUGUUUUUAUGUUAGAGAUAAAUUUGUACUAAGUAUCAUUAUCAUUGCCAUCAUCUUCAUCAGCACCUUUCCAUGCCUGUGUAGGUCAGAUGAAAUUUACUGAGACAGAUUUUCUAUGACCAGAUGCUCUUCCUGAUGGCAACCUUCACUUGUUUCCAUGAACAGCACAAUGACCAGACAUGUUUCCAAUGAAAAUUGCAAACAAAUGGCACCAUUUAUUUGAUGCUGGUGUCUGUUUACAGUUAGCAUUUGUUACGAAGACCAGGAGAUAGGAACAUACGUAUGUGCACAUGCCUAUGCACACACACACACACACACACACACACACAACUAAUUAAAUAAAGAAGUGUGUGUGUAUGUGUGCAUUUGUUUGUAACUGGCUUCUUUAAGCUUUCGGAUUCUGAAUUUCUUCUACAAGGCUUUGGUGAGACCAGACCCAUAUUAGGAGACACUUGAUCAAGGUGCCACACAGUACAAAACCAUGUACUUGUGAAACGAACUUCUGAAACACACAAUCAUACCUGCACCUAAGUAUGUAGUUAUUUAUUUUUCUAUAGGUUUCUUAAUAUUUCAAAAUUUAUGAAUUUUGCUCUCAAGUGUAUGAAUUCUCCUUAUCUCUAAGAAACACAUCUAUUUGUCAUGAUUAGCAUUCUAUUGUAUAUAGGUUACUAUUUCAUGCUUAGAGUUUAUCUGGUAUAUAAAGUUUCCCUAAAGUUGCUCUAUCUAAAAUAUGUAGAAAGAUCUAAAAAAAAUAAUCUCAGAAAUCUCCCUUUUUUGUAUAUGUCAUGUUACAUUUUAGUUUUUCAAUGUGUAUCUUGAGGGCUGUGGCAUGUAAUUUUUGUAAUCUAUUAGCAAAGUGAAGUUUGUUGAUGUUUUAUAUUUGUUUCUUACUUUUAAAUGUUCAUUUCAUUAGUAAUUAAAAAAAUAUAUUUGCUUGUUUUUUUAUUUGUAUUUUUUUUUCUUCUGAAGAUCUAAUCUUAGUUCUUCUGAUGGGGGUGAUAUCAAUUAAAGCCACUAAUUAAUUACUAUCACAAUAUUUUAUCAAUUAAUUAAUUGAUAUCAAAAUCUUUUAUCAACAAAUUAAGUUGAUUUUUAUAAUCGAUAAACUUAUCAAUAAUCUAUUGUAACUACUUACAUACCGAAAGCUUAAAUUGCUGUAGAAUUAAGAAACUGCAACUACUUUUAGAUUUUAUUAUGUGUUCAUUACAGUGGCAUGACUGUCUUAUAGAGAAUUCAAAAUAGUAAAUAUACUUCAAAUAAUUCAAGUUAUAUUUAUUUACAUUUCAUUAACAAAUUCACAUUGAUAUCUUUUUUUAUGGUGUUUCAAUGAAAGCAUAUCAGAACUGCAGGGCAGUAAGGGAGCCCACUACAUACUCACUUAACUUACUAGAUAUAGAAGCCAAACUUACUUCUGUUCACACUCUACCCACUUUAAAAAAGGAGGACAUAUUAAAUAAUGUAGUCUGAGAUAAAAUGAUGUGGUAGUCUUAUCUUUUCUACUCUAAGCACAAGGCCCAAAAUUUUGGGGGAAGGGGCCAGUCGAUAAGAUCAACUCCAGUAUGUAACAGGUACUUAAUUUAUCAACCCUGAAAGCAUGAGAGAGAGGCAAAGUUGACUUUGGCGGAAUUUGAACUCAGAACAUAAAGACAGAUAAAAUACUGCUAAGCAUUUUGCCCUGCGUGCUAAUGUUUCUGCCAGCUCGCUGCCUUAAAAAGAUGAGGUAGUCACCACAGGAAUGUUUUAACCAUAGGGUUUUCCUAUCACAGCCAACUUGAUGGGGAUGGGGUGCAAACAAUAACAAAAUUAAACACUGUCACAUAUUGCCAAGACUGCUGCUGUGUUCCAAGUAGGAUAUUUUUAUAUUUUCCCUUAGGCAAAGCAACACAGAUCAGCUCAGUCAAAUUCAUACUUGGAGGAAAGUACUACAUAUAAAGUACUAUACAGUCAAUGGUAGUAGAAAUAAUGUAAUAGAAAAAUAUUGUAUUCAGACAGGAUAGCAGAAAUUAUUCAAUAAUCUCUCAAAUAGCAAUAGAAUGAUCAAUAGUGUUAGUUUGUAUUGAGAGAUUAAGAACAUUUGUAUUGGAUGAAGAGUAGUUUAAGAAAACUGGGUGGAUGUGUUCCUCUGUCUGCUGAUAUGCUGUUGUAUGCAGAAACGAAGAGGUAAGAAGUUUCAUGUAAACUGUGUCACAGUAAAACCAUUAUCUGUUUCUGAAAGAAAUUCUGAUAAGCUGCAACAUGUUAAUAUGUUUACCAAAUCAAAUAAAGAUUUAAAAUCUCAUACCAUCACAGCCAUAUAUAUGCAUGUGUGUGUAUGUGUGUGUAUAUAUAUAUAUGUAUAUAUAUAUAUGUAUGUAUGUGUAUAUAUAUGUAUGUGUAUAUAUAUAUGCAUGUAUAUAUAUGCAUAUAUAUGUAUGUAUAUAUGUAUGUAUAUAUAUGCAUGUAUAUAUAUAUAUGUGUGUAUGUAUAUAUGUGCAUGUAUGUAUAUAUGCAUGUAUGUAUAUAUGUAUGUAUGUAUGUAUGUAUGUAUAUAUAUAUAUAUGUGUGUGUGUGUGUGUGUGUGUAUGUAUGUAUAUAUAUAUAUAUAUAUAUGUAUGUAUGUAUAUAUAUAUAUAUAUGUAUAUGUAUGUAUGUAUAUAUAUAUAUAUAUGUAUAUGCAUGUAUGUAUAUAUGUGUAUAUAGGUGCAUGUAUAUAGGUAAAAUUAUACUAAUGUGUCCAUCUGUUUUAAUUUAAUUAAAUUCUGUCUUUAUGCAGCUGAGGAUUGCUCUGCAUUUAAAUUGAUGUAAUGAUUGCAUUGUUCAGUUAAUAGUUCAGUGUGUAUUUCACAUUGCUUCAAAUGCACAAAAUGCCUGGAACUCUUGAUAGGAGAAGGUGCAGUUGUUUUUUGAAGACACCUAUAUCCUCCCCGUGGUUUCUCAGGUUUUGGGGAAGUAUAUUGAAGAGCAGUUGGCCCUUGAAACCCAAGCUCUUGUAGUAUCUCGUCCUGUGUCUUAAUGGUAAUGUUGGGAUUUUUGGUCAGUAUCCACAAUGAAUAAGGAAAUGGAAGAUGAAUUCAAUGCUAAGCUGAGAGAUGUGCUGUGCAAAGUUCCCUGCAAAGACUAGCUGAGAACUGCUGAUCUCAAUGCAAGACUAAUGGCUUGAUGUGAUAGACAAACAUGGAGUAAGAAAGUGCAAUUCAAAUGGUGAGCUUCUUCUAGACCUCUGCUCUAAGUUCAAUCUAGUAAUUACAAACACUGUCUUCAAGUACGAAAACCAUCAAAAUACUACUUGGAUGCCCCUUGGCUCCAAGCAUUUGCACUUGUUAGACUACCUAAUCGCCUGGGGAAGAAAUCAGAAUGAUAUCCUGGAUACAAGGAGAAAAGAUACCAUGGAAGACUUAGACUGAAAUUCAAACACUGCAAAAAAGAAUAUGAAAUAUGAAGUGGAAAGGAAUUCACCAUAAUAAAUGGCAAACCCAAGUGAAAAGCCAACUAGUAUGGAGAAAGCUUAUCAAGUCAUGCCAAAACAAUAAAUAGUUAGUCAUGAUAACUAACUGCAAAUAAUAUUUGUAGAAUUUCGAUACUGCAAAAAUACUCAAAAAGAAAAUUAUCCUAAUAAAUAUUGGCUUAUAUGAAGAUGAUGCGAAAUGGGCAUAUACUGCAUGUAUUUAGAAAAAAAUCUUAUUAACUUCUUCAAAUUUUACACUCUAAGAAUACCUAAAUUUUGCAAAUUUGUAAGCUGUUACUUGUAAUUUAACUACAGAUAAACAAAUAUUUUGCAGGAAACCCAAUGAAAAUUUCACAUAUAUUAAUAUAGACUCCUGCUAUCCAAUUACAGUUUUUAAAACCUGAUUAUCGGAUAUCAGCAGAAGAAUCUCUUACCUGUUAUUGAAUAAAGUAUCAAUUAACAAUUUGCUUCCCUCCUUCUAUGAUAAAAUCGCAAGAAGAAAGUGGAUUUAAAGAUGUGUAUUAUUUGCAUACACACACUCACACACACACACACACACACACACAUGCAAGCACACACACAUACACAUGCAAGCACACACACACACACACACAUGCAUGCACACACACAUAUGAAGUGGAAGUCAUCUCCACCAAACCAAAUCUUAAGAUCAUGUAUAAACAUUCUAUAGAUAUGGCAGAUGAUAAAUUUUGAAAAAUUCUUCAACCAUAUUUCUUCUUUUAGGGCUAUAGAAAAACUGAAAUGCUCUAAAACUACCUUAUCUGGAGUGGAAAAGCUUUAAGAUAUACUGAAAAAAAGCUUUGAGAUAUAUUCUAUAUAUAUAGAAACAUUGUAGAUUAUGUAUAGCUGAACAGUACUUUAUAUACUAAAAACCUUCAUAAAUCUGUAAGCUAUAAAAAUUCAGAGACCUUUCACUAAAUAUUGCUACUUUGACAUGCAACUCUUGAACCACUGAAAGACUACACCUCCAUCAAACAUGAUAAAUACUUAUUUCUUUACCAUAAACCAUUCUUUGUUUCUUGCUUCAGCAUUAUCUCAAUAAUAGACACUUCCAAUCCCACUAUGCCUAAUAACACUACACUCUUUGAUAUCUUCAAAUCUUUGUCAUUGUAUGCCCAUUUCCAUUUUUAUUUUCCUUUGCUUUUGUCACUUAUCUAGUGAAGUACAUAAGAUUGAACAAAUUUUUUUGUGUUGUCAGGAAAUGCGAAUGCUGGCAACUUUGAGCAAUGAUAUGCAUCAUACAUAGAAAGCCAUUCUCUUUGCAACAGAAAUGCUUUAAUUGAAGUAUUUGGAUUGUCAUCUUCCAACAGCAUGCAAGUUUAUUCAAAUUAUAGACUUGAACCCAAUAUACCACAUUAGCAAGUUUAAUGAAAGAAGGAAUACCUUCCCAUACUACAAUCAUUAUACUUUUAAAGUUUUUAUGCAUAUCUAUUGUUACAUAUCCCUUGUGACGGUGAUAAUGGUUAGAAAUGAGAAUCUAUAGCAACGAUACAAGAGGUGUAAGUUCUACAUUAAUUCACCUGAGAUGUUCCCAUUUUCUAUAAUCUAAAUGAGACAUUCACAUCCACUGAACAGCUUUUUUUAACAUUUUUUUUUUUAUCCCAUAGGACAAGAUCAUGGCUGUUGUAUUUGCAACAUACUGAAAUAUUGCAUCAGUAUCUUUUUUAUUUUUGAAUGUUCUAAUGUGAGUUUCAUAUAACCAUAUGGAUAGCCUUAUAUAUAUAUACUAGCAGUAUCGCCUGGCGUUGCUCGGGUUUGUAAGGGAAAUAACUAUUACUUCCCUUAUAUAAUAGCGAAAAAAUGCAUUAAAAUGGAAAAAAUGAUGGUAAAUUUUUUUUUAAAUUGUAAACUCAUCAUAGACACGCGCUAAUACCCAGAAGGGCUCGAUAUGAAUCACGACUAUAAGAUACCCGCUUUUGGUUAAACUGCACUGCAAAAUGUGGGAGGAGUUAGGAAUCUAAAUCAUAGAAGACAGACAGCACGCAACCUCACUUUUAUAUAUAAAGAUAUAUGACGACAAUAUUGUUUCAGAAGGUACCAUGUAGAUAUUGUUGGACUGCCAUUGAUAAUGUGGGUGAUAUUUUCCAUGCUGGCAAAGCAAAAUCAGCAUGCAUGCAUUCAUUCAUUCAUUUGUGCAUGCAUGCAUAUGUACAUACAUUCAUACAUACAUACAUACAUACAUACAUACAUACAUACAUACAUACAUACACACACACACACACACACAUACAUACAUGUGUCUGUAUGCAUAUGUGUUUCAUCAUAGUAUUUAACCCUUUAGCAUUUAAACCAGCCAUAUCCGGCCAAAAGCAUUCUGCCUGUUUUAUGUUCAAACUGGCCAGAUCUGGUCUCUCACACUGAUCCUACAAUAUUGUUUUAAAAAUUAACAGCUACCUCAUCAAAAUCUCAUAACUACAAGAUAAUGCAUGAUAUUAGUUCAAGGCAAUGUGAAUGAAAAAGGAUUAACUUUGGCAGAAUAAUGUGAACACUAAAGGGUUAAAUUAUUCACUUACAAAAUAACUAAACUUUUUUUGUUUCAGUCAAACAGUGUGAGUGCUAGACUGUAUGGAAUAUGUUUAAAAGAAAAGUGUCAAGACAGUUUGACAUAAGCUGGCCAGGCAGAAGACAGCACCAGGCCUCUGUGUCUGUUUUGGCCUAGCUUUUACAGCUGGGUGCCCUUCCUAACACUGUAAUAUAGUGUGUGUGUGCAUGUGUGUGUGUGUGUGUGUGUGUGUGUGUGUGUGUGUGUGUGUGUAAUGUAUAAUGUAAUAAUAAUGGUUUCUAAUUUAGGCACAAAGCUUAAAAUUUGUAGUAGGAGCUUGAUUGAUGUCAUCAAUCCCAGGAUUUCACUAGCCCUCGUUUUUUUUAUUAGCUCUGAAAAGAGGAAAGGUAAAGUUGGCCCUAAUGGGAUUUCAACUCAACAUAAAGUGGAACAAAUAUCACAAGGUAUCUUGUCUGACACUCUAACAAUUCUGCCAAUCUGCCAGUCUUUAUAAUAAUAAUAAUAAUAAUUAUAAUAAUAAUAAUGAUAAUGAUAAUAAUAAUAAUAAUAAUAAUAAUAAUAAUAAUAAUAAUAAUAAUAAUAAUUCAGAAUCAAUGAUCCUUGUAUUAAAUGCAGUUUAUUUCAACGAUUUCUGUUUAUUGUGAUCAACAGAUACUAAGCUAGAACUCACUUUUAACGACCAUAACCCACCAAUAUUUAUCAUCUUCCAUAGUUUUAAUGUUCUGCAUCUAUGACAAUUUAUGCAGUUGCUAAAGAUUGAUUCAUGGAUAACAGAGGCUGAGAAUUUUGAAUUUUAAAAAAAAAUGUUAAAAAUAUAUAAUUUGAAGAUGUGGUUGGUUUUUUCACACACUAAGUAGUCUGUAUGAAGUGCAUGGAAAUUAUAUCCUGUUAGAAAUGCUAAAAAUCUAUAUAAAGAGGUUGCUCAACCUGCCAGAAAUAGCAAUCUGAUUAUCUCAAACUAGCAGUAUCGCCCGGCGUUGCUCGGGUUUGUAAGGGAAAUAACUAUAUAAGCAUUUUUAGAGAAUUAUAGCCAAAAAAUAGCAAAAAAAUGCAUUAAAAAUGGGGAAAAAAAUGAUGGUAAUUUUUUUUUAAAUCGUUGACUCAUCGUAGACAUUUUUAGAGAGUUAGUUCCCUUAUAUAAUAGCGAAAAAAUGCAUUAAAAUGGAAAAAAAUUAUGUUAAAUUUUUUUUUAAAUCGUAGACUCAUCGUAGACGUGCGCUAAUACCCAGAAGGGCUCAAUAUGAAUCACGACUAUAAGAUACCCGGUUUUGGUUAAACUGCACUGCAAAAUGUGGGAGUAGUUAGGAAUCUAAAUCGUAGGAGACAGACACACAACUUCACUUUUAUAUAUAAUAUAAAGAAGAUUACCUCUUAAUGUUGAGAAAAGUUAGGACUCAUUGGCUGAGUUGUCUUAGAACAUAAGUUUGCUUAAUUAGGUCUGAAACUGAGUUAGAGUUAAACAACAACCAACUGUGAUACACUCAACUGAUUUUAAAUUACAAAUAAUAAAUUCUCAAAAAACAUUGUAGUCGUGACCAUCAUAUUUAGUGCUAAUGUAACAAAUACUUUGCUGUGUGACAUUAGUAACAAUAUGUAUAUGUGCUUGUAUAAUUUCUUUUUUAAGAGAUUAAGGUACAAUUUGUGGAAACUUAUCUGCUGUUUCAGGUUGAAUGACCACAGAGAGCCCCUGUGCAUUGAUUCAAUCAAGUGAUAAGUGAUAUAUUCAGAGAGUAAGGCUUAAAAUUCAUUAUUUCCAGAGCUGAAAAUAUUCCUUGCUUCAUGCAGUUGAGAGACUUCAACUUACAGUGAGGUUGAAUCCUUGAAAGCAAAAAUCUUCUAAGAUAAAUUAAUAAAGGGAAUUGUUUUUGCAUCUCAUGAAAAAUGUUAUGAGUUUAUCUCUCAUUCACCAAUAACCAAACACAAGGAGUUGAAAUAUAAUAGAAUUCAAUCCCCUCGACAAAAAUCACAUAAUAUCCAUUCAUGCUAGUCAAAUAAACAAUGAAAUAAUAACAUCUGGAAAUAAUUAUAGAGUAUCGAUCUUUUGGCUGUUUUUUUUUACUUGAUAUAAUUUCAUCUGACAAAAUCACAAACGUUUGGGUGCUUUUUCCCUCCAGUAUUUGAGGUAUUCACUCUGCUCAAAUCCAUUUUUAAUCAACAUUCUUUUGAAACUUUUACCAGUUCUAUUUUUGGCAUUUUCAGUCUUUGUUUUACAUUUAAUUCUUUCUUCAAGUUUCUUAAAUCCUUUUCUGUUCUUUUUGGUAAUUUAUAUAAGUGGCCUUUUCAAUAUUCUAUAGGUUUCUUUUCUUUUUUAACUCCUUCUUCAUAUUUUAUUCCAUUUGUUUUUGUAAUUAUUUUUAAUCCCUCUUCAUUCUUGCAGUUGUUUGAAUCCAUAAAAUAAAGAUGUGAUGAAACUAGACACAUUAAUAAUUUUAACCACUAUAUUCUAGACUGGGCCUGAUGCAGCCUUCUGGCUUUACAGACCCCAGUUGAACCGUCCAACCCAUGCUAGCGUGGAAAGUGGACACUAAAUGAUGAUGAUGAUGAUGAUGAUUCUGUUAUCUCAGCUACUUCUACUGUCUCUUCAUGUAAUGGUUUGUAAAAUAAUGCACAGGACUACGAAUAUAGGCGAAGUGGGUUAGUCAAUUAAAUUAACUUUAGUUCGUCAACUUCAGCAAGAAUCAAACUCUAAAUGUAGAGCUAUGUAACUAAAUACCUCGAAGCAUUUUGUCCAUUGCUCUGCAAAUUCUGCAAAUUACUAUAAUAAUCAGGUUCAUUGUUUCCUAUGAUAAAAUUCAUAUUACUUAGUUGCAAACUUUAUCUGUAUUGAUUUCUCUUGACUUGCCAAAAGCCUUUAGUCUGUCUGAUAUUUAUUUAUUUAAUCAAUCCCUCAAAAGCAUGAAAAGCUUUGUUAUUAUAAAAUUUGAACUCAGAACCAAAGGGUACAAAAGAGAAAGAGAGAGAGAGUGACACACACACACACACACACACACGUAAUUUUCAUAUGAUGAUUAUGAUAAAAUGAUCAAGUAUCAAAGAAGUUGGGUAAGAAAAUGCUGGAAAGCAAUAAGAUUUAUAAUGAGGAGUUUAUCAAAUCUGGCUCAAGUAACCAGAGGAUGAGUGUAGAAGAAAUGAAGUAUUAAGCCAAUGAUUGUAUAUAGACUUUGGUUGGCAUUUAAUUACACUGAUUCUUACACAGAAACAACUAAUUAGUGUAUUUAAUUCAGUGACAUUCACAACCUCAUUCCAAAUUUCAUCCCCAAAAAAUCUUUUCCUCAGUUAAUUAAAUUUAGUAUUGUUGGAAUUGUCCUUGGAUUAUCCCCCUCCGGUACUAAUUAUAUCUUCCUAAUUACUGUGAGAUGCUUGAACAGUCAUAUAGAACUACUUUAUCCUUGUUUGUAACACAAGAUUGAUAUUUUGUAUGUAUAAAGGCAAACUGCAUAAGCUGGGUUUCAGAAAUAAUUAUGCUGAAUGUUUGUGAAACAAAUGAUGUACUGAAACUUGCUAUAAUCAGGAAGAAAUGAUUAGUAUAUGAUCUGCUGAAUGUAUAAUGCCAAAUGACAGAGAAAAUUGAGUUGCAAAAUCAAUUGACCAGUGUAUGUUGGAGACUACAGUAUCUCUUGUGAAAGGUAAGAGAGUCCAGUUUGCUGGACAUUGUUGUAGAGCUGAAAAAGAGGUAAUUUCUACUCUUCUCCUCUGGAAGCCAUCUACUCGCAAUACCAGAGGGCGCACACUCUCCUACCCUGAUGUAAUCUCCAGGGAUACAGGCAUCCAGCAACAGGACCUCCGUAAUGCCAUGAUGGACCGUGAAGUCUGGCGUAGCAUGGUAAAUUCCAUUGUCUCGACCACGGUCAAACAAUGAUGAUGAUGAUGAUGCAGUAUGGUCUUGCAGCUCAAACAUCUAACAAAUGCUUGUUGUAUAUAAGAAAAGUGAUGAAGAAUCAGUAAGGAAAGAAAGAAAACAACUAAAUGCUGCAGAGUACUCGAUCCAAAGCUCAAUUUUUCUUUAUGCUACCUUCUGUGCGUUUUGUGCAUUUGUUAAGGAGAAAACUUAAAUGUGAAUCAUACAUACAUGCACAUAUAUGCAUACCUGCUGCACACACUCACACACACGCAUGCAUGCCUAUACACCUGCUUGCAAGCAUAUGCAAUAAAACAGGUCAGCUCUGAAUUUCUGUGUUGUUAAUGAGCAAAGAAUUAUCAUGUAAAUUCCACAAAUGCUCAGCAUUUCUAUCUAGAGAUGUGAACAUUCCAGUGUAAGCAUAGUAUCUUUAAAGAAUAUAUCUGUGUUCUGCUCUCCAUGUCAGCUGUUAGCUGUCAGUACACUUCAAAAUUCCAUGCUUCCCAAAAUUUGUCCACAUUAUUCUAGAUGUGCCUAUACUCCCUUUCCUAUCCCUAUGGUUCUCUUACUUUGCAUUUUUUUAAUGUUUUUUUUUAUGUUGUUCCCUGUGCUCUAUGUAUGUAUUUUUGGGUGUCUUUCUUUACUUAUUGCUGCUUUUUGUCCCCUCUUUUACUAUUUUCUAAUGAGUUGUGGUGCACAUGAGAACUACACACACACACACACACACACACACUAUAAAACUAUCUAGAUUUACCAGCAGUCCAAGAUGCCCACAAACUUCUUACAGGCCUAAUACUUUUCUUUCUGCUUUAUAACAGCAAGACUGUCAAUAGAUGCAGCUAGAGUACUCAUAAAAAAAAAAUUAGUUUGAUUCAUCAAAAUACAGAAAAACUUUCUAUUUAACAGACAAAUAAAGAAGGUGUAUCUUUUAUGAAAAGUCUGUUUAAUAAAAAGUAACCUGUAGGGCAUUUUUAUUGUUUUGCAAGUAAAAAUGAAUAUUUGAAUGUAAUAUGUACUAAUGCAUAGUAUAAAGGUGCUAAAUUAUAAUAAAGAAUUUUUACUUUCUUUCUGACAGUGUGAUAGAAGUAUAUUUUGCUAUGACCAUAGUGUCCAGUAUACUAUUGCUUUAUUAUUUGGUUCAUUCAAUCAGAAGCACUGCAUCCUUCAAAACUUCCAUGCUUCCUGAGAUUCGCCAACACUACACUUGAUUUCCUCCCCUCCAUACACACACAAGCAUGUAUCUGACUCAUACAUUGUUCGUUUUCCAGACAUUUCUACAUUACUGCAUGUACUUUAUAUGCACUUUCUGACAAGUUGUGGUGCACCUGAGCACUGUAUACAAUAAUUUCAUUAUUAUUAUUAUUAUUAUUAUUAUUAUUAUUAUUAUUAUUAUUAUUAUUAUUAUUAUUAGAAAUCUGUUAAGUUAUAGACCAUUAAACUGAGAAUUUUCCGUACUUAUAAUUCUCAAAGAAAAUUAAUAGAAUAUUUUAUACCUGUAGCUGUAUGUGUGUGUCAUCAUCAUCAUCAUCAUCAUCGUUUAACGUCCGUUUUCCACGCUAGCACGGGUUGGACGGUUUCGACCGGGGUCUGGGGAGCUAGGGACUGCCCCAGGCUCCAGUCUAGUCUGGCAGUGUUUCUACAGCUGGAUGCCCUUCCUAACGCCAACCACUCCGCGAGUGUAGUGGGUGUUUUUUACGUGCCACCUGCACAGGUGCCAGAGGGUCUGGCAUCGGCCACGUUCGGAUGGUGCUUUUUUUUUUUUUUUUUUUUUUUUUUUUUAUAAAUAAUGGCAAAGUUGACCUCAGUAGGAUCUGAACCAAGACCAUAAAGGAAGACUAAUAUGUUUUGUUUUGGGAUUUGGUUUGCAAGAUUCUUUAUAUGAGUUGGUGUGUUGAAGCAUUUUCAGUUGUUUCUGGGGAGAGUCAUUCUCUUUUAGUGCCUUAUUAUUUAACACACUCACCGGUAAAAUUUCCAGUUAUUUCUUAUUUUUAUUUUCUAAAUUUUUCGUUGCGUCUUGCAACCUUUUCAAUAGUCUUGACUCUAAAAAUAAAAAAAUAAGUGGAAAUUUUACCGGUGAGUGUAUUAAAUAAUAAGGCACUAAAUGAGAAUGACUCUCCCCAGACACAACAGAAGAUACUAAUAUGGUUGUGCAGUUAAGAACUUGCCUUUGCAAUUAUAUGUAUAUUUUAAUUUUGCUGAAAAUUCAUUGUAGGAUAGAAUUUGUGUGACAGAUAUAUUUAUUUAUAGUCAUCAUUAUUUCUAUUUUUCCAUGUUAACUAAAUUUAGGAAGAGAUGGAAUACAGCAUAUAACUACUUAACAAUACUAUUUCAUUUCUUGUGAGUGUCCCAACAUCCUGGGUUCUGUCCUUACCAUGUCUUCUCAGGUUUUCCCCUCAAGCUUUUUUUUGUUUUGCAUGAGUACCCUCUUUUACCUUGCUUUCAAGAAGUCAACAAGUGACCAGUUGUUCAAUAUGCAAGAAAUAGACAAAUUACCCUAAAUUGUUGACUUAAAAAAAACAAAAAAACAAAGAAUUCAUUGAAAAUUUUAGUCCUAGGUAUACAAAUAUAGAGGACUAUCAUAUUGGACCACUUUUGAUCAUACAUCUGUUUGAUCAGACUUCACCUGGGUGCUAUGCAAUAACAACAAUACUGCAUAUAAAAUAGAAGUGGGCUGUUUUUCUUUUAUCUGCAGUUCAUUUCUGUUUACUAUCUUGUUAUUAAUUAGUGUUCUAAAAUUAUUUGAAAUAUGAUUAUUUUGAAUUACUUUUAUAUUAUAUAUUUAUAGGUGCAGGCAUAAUCAUGUGGUUAAUAAUUUCAUUUUAUGAAAUUUCAUUUUAUAAAAAGCACCAUCCGAUCGUGGCCGUUGCCAGCCUCGCCUGGCCCCCGUGCUGGUGGCACAUAAAAAGCACCAUCCGUCCGUGGCCAUUUGCCAGCUCCUGUGCGGGUGGCAGGUAAAAAGCACCCACUACACUCACGGAGUGGUUGGCAUUAGGAAGGGCAUCCAGCCGUAGAAACACUGCCAGAUCAGACUGGGCCUGAUGCAGCCUUCUGGCUUCACAGACCCCAGUUGAACCAUCCGACCCAUGCUAGCAUGGAAAGCAGAUGCUAAAUGAUGAUGAUGAUGAUCUCACUGUGCAGCAGCUUGGCCAAAUGUUUUCUACCAUAACCUUGGGCUGGCGAAGACCUUGUAAAUAAAAUUUGGUAGACAGAAACUGUAAUGUAGCCUGUUAGAUAUGUAUGUGUGUGUGUGCACACAUGCACUUGUUUGUGUACCUGUAUUUCUCUGAGAAAUGGCAAUAUUGCUCACCGGCAAACAAAAGAACUUUGUGCUAUUUAGUUGCACCCCAUAACGUUCCAUUUACAUAUUGACCUGCAAACAACAGUUGAUUCCAGUCCUGUUAGUGAACCUGUAGCUUCUCUUUUCUGUCUCAAAUAGGUAUUUGCAAUGUAUAAUAUUAUCUUUCUUCUUCCUUAUUAAAAAUCUCCUCAUCUAUGAAUAUGAACUCCUCAAGUAUGAUUGUACGAUCAAUCACUGUUUGAUUAAGAAUUAUCCUAUGGCUUUUGAAUGAUCAUUUCAUUGAUUGUAGAUCCUUUCUACUAUAGGUUUACUAUUAAUAACAAAUAGAGUGCAUAUCAUCUGAUUUAAUGAGGCAAUUAAAAUCAAUUAUUAAUUACCAUUUAUCUUUGAAGAAGGGCCUACCUGAUACAUCAGAACAUAACUCUUUACAGUAAGCACAAAAACUUCUUUUCUUUUAGAUAUUUUAUUUAUUUGCCUUUUGGUGAAGUAGUCAUUAGUUUUCUUUGACUCUAAGUUUCUGUUUUAUUUUUUUCAUCAUUAUUAAACUGCUUUGGAAAUUUUGCCAUGUGAUUAUCAUUUGUGCAAUAAUACAUUUCUAACUACAGGGAUAAAUAUAAAGACCAUCGUACUGUCUUUAUAUCUAUCUGAGACAUUUUAUUAUAACAAAGUAAAAGUUAAUUAUUCUAGCAAAUGAGAUAAUUUUCUUUUAAAAUAAAAAUUCUCUUACAACAAGCUUCCUGUUACAAGAGUUUGAGUAUUUUAAGGAGGAGUGAAGCAACCAUUGAUUGUCAUUAAAUUUGAAUGGUGACCUUUUUUGUAUAAAGUAAAUAUAAAUAUUUACAAUUGUUGAUACUUACCUACUUUCUAAUGUAAUAGAAUAUGUGUGGCUAAGGAAUUUCCAAUUUGUUACAUAUUCCAGUGAAUAAAUUCUUUGUAGUGUUAUCAAAUAAUGAAUUCUUAGUAUGACACUUAAUUGAAGCACAUUUCUGGAUUAUCACUCCAAAUAUCAGUUGGCUGUUGAUAGGGACAAAUAGACAGUAAUUAUCCUGGUAAUGAUCCAAAUCUACUCCAGCUAAACUUUUGUGCCAAUUAUAAGACAUGAAAUUAAUUAAUUGAGUUCUCUCAAUGAUUGCAGUUACAUUAGCUGCACUCAAUAUUUGAAAUGACCUGUUAUUUUUAUUUCUAGUUGUCAAAUUAGGAUCCCUAGAGAAAUUCUUUCUCAUCAUCUAGAGGACAUUUUAAAUUGUAAUAAACUCUAUAAAAAAUUGUUUAGUGCUAGCAAAUCCCAUAACAAUUUGAAAAAGAUAAAUUGUGCUUGAAGUCACCACAAUAUAUAUUUGUUAUAUUUUAACACACACACACACAACUGUAGUGUAUUUGAUCAAUUUAGACAACUGUGCAUGCAAAAUUUUUCCAUUCUUCAACCUGCAUGUGCCAGUACACCUAUACUCACAUGCAAGUACAUACUUACAUUACUUCUAGCCAAGCUAGAAAUUAUGGCUAAAUCUCCUUCAGAUUACAUCUUACAAUCUGAAAUAAAGAUAGAGACAUUUAGACAAUAAAGAUACUGUUUAUACAAAAAACUAGUAUGGUUACAGAUGAAAAGCAUUCUGCUUAAUUGAGGCUGACUUAGGACUAAGCCACCACACUUAGCACAUAUCCAUGCACAUUUUAAUGAGUUAGCAGUAGCAAGUCAGAGCCAAUCUUUCACUAAUCAUUAAAUCAGUAAAAUAUAUUGAUAAACAAGUAAAUAUAUUGACAAGAGUAAUAUUCAUUUCUAUUCCCUUUAACACAAUCUAAUAUGAAUCAAUUAUGAAAUCUCACUAUGGUUGCAACCUGCUAAAAAAGAAUAGCUUAAUCUACCAUAAUUCAUGUCUCAUCAUCUUAAAAGACUAGAUGGUCGUUUUAAUUCAUGUACCAGGUAAACACUGUUACUUAGCCCUAGGCAUCCUUUUGUGGAGUCCUCUCUAUUGUAUGUAUGUGAUCUAGGUCCCAAGACAGAACUUUUUCCUUUCCUCCUGUUGUUAACAAAGGUUCUGUAAAAAAGUGGUAACAACUGCCCUUCCUCUUCUGACUAAAACUAUGCAAGUUUUCUUUCACUUCUUUACUACCUCAAUAUCCAUUUUAAUUAUUCAAAGCAGAAAUUAAUAUAUUUACUUACUAACAAAAUAAUGCAUCUUAAUUUAUUGUUAUUAAUUCCCAAAUAUUGGAGAUGCUUAGAAAAUAUAUAAUAAAAAUUAGGUACUUUUAUGGAAAAUCAAGUGUUACGCAACCUUUAAAAUCUUAAAUGACCAUUCCUAAGAGAGUUCUACAGGUCGCUAAACAUAGUGAAAACAGCAGCCAAAUUUAUCUCCAGUUACAUCUUAUUAUCUUGUUGGACACAUUGGAUGAUGUAUUUCAGAUAGACUUUAUGUGAGCAAAUUAAGGACUGAAGGAGCUUUGAUCAUAGGUUUAACAUUUCAACUUGACCCUUUAGCCAUAUUCAGCCAAAGUUUUCUAUCUGUUUUAUAUUCAAGCUGGUCAGAUCCAUCCUCUCACAGCUGCCUGACAAUGUUAUUCUAAAAAUACAAAAACACAUCAUCAAAAUCUUGAAGCUACAAGUUAAAUGCAUGAUUAAUUCAAAACAAUGUGAAUAAAUAAGCAUUACAUUUGACUGAGUAACCUAAAUGCUAAAGGGCUAAAAUGAACUGGAGCUGUCAAGGGAGCCUCUAUAUGGUCGUUUAGCUUGUUAGAAAUAGCAACCAAAAGCUAUAUCAAAUUCUACUCUAUUGUUUUAAGGAAAGACAGACAUACUGGACAAUGUAGCCCCUAAUAUAUAAAAGAUGGGCUGGUUACUGCUGGAAUGACUUUGACCAUAGGUUUGCUUUAUUAGGGCUAUUCUAGGGAUAAAGAACUAAAAGUAAAGUCAUUUAAAAGCUUCUUAAAAUAGGGAUAUUUUCCACUGCUAAUUUAAUACACUUUUAAAAAUUUGUUCACCGCACUCAAAUGAUUGAAACAAGUAAAAGUAUAAAAGAAAACAUACUAAAAACAACUUCAGUGAAAGAGCUAAAAUCUUGAAAUUAUUUCCCCUCUUCUUUCAAACUUAUAAACCAUUAUUACUAGGUUUUAAUUUUCUUUCCCAGUGAAUAAUGAAGUUUUAGUUAGUUAAGAAUUUCUCUUGCAAGGCUUUUAAUACAUCAUCACUCAUUAAUUUAAUUAAGCAAAAAAAAAAAAAAGAAAGGCAUUUUAUUUCUCAUCAGGUAGUUCUUUAAAUUAUACUUGAUUGACAUAAUAAAGCAAUGUAAUUCUUUUUAUGAGAUAUCAUCUUUUCUUAAGAUGGAAAAAUUUUGAGAAAGACAGAAACACGAUGCAUUUUUAUUUCUCUUCUGCCUUUGUAAGAAUUCAAUAUUGUUUUGUUAUAAUAUUUGCUGCAGCAUCAGUAAUAAUAUUAAAUAUCAUGAAGCCAAAUUAUAUUCCCAGUUGAUUGCAAUCAAAUUCUUGAAAUUAAUGAUAUCCACUUACUUUAUAAAGUUACUUUUUAAGAUAUUCAUAUGGAUAUUUUACAUGAAUUGCUUAAAGGAAAACCAUUAAAUAUUGAUAGAAUUUCUUUUAAAAUAAGUUUGCAAAGAUUAAUAGAAGGACUGUUAUUGUUGUUUUUCUAACACUCCUAUUCUAGACAAUAAUUGGAUGAAGUUACUGUUGUUGAGUUGUUGUAAAGCAGAUUGAUAACUUAGAGAUGUCCUGAUAAACCUUUAAAAUGAUCUAUAAAUUUGUACCACAAACAUAUAAAGGCCUGGUUUGUUGACUUGCAUUGAAUUUUGUGUUCUGAUAGAUAUGGAGCAUCUCAUUGUAAGCUUUUUCUCCCAAGAUUUUAGUGUGAAUGGUAUGAAUGAAUGGAUAAUAGAUGUUUGAAGUGGGAAGUGUCCUAAAAAGAUGAAAACCUUACAAAAAAGGGGUACUUAGUUAGGAGUUUAAAGACAAAACACAAUGGAGCUGACGAGAAGAAUAGAGAGGAUGAGUUUAGACUGGAAUAGUUUCUAAUAAUAAAGCAGAAACUGCUGUAUUAGUAAUAGUUAUUGUUUAUCCCCAAUUUAACCUCGAUUGAGUAGACCUACAAUCUAAAGCAUUCAAGCUAUGGCAGCCCUUUGUUUUUUUCUAGGCAGUAAACUACAUAAGCUAAUGUCUUUUCUCUAAAAAAGUAAGGCUUAAUUAGAAGAUUUGGCUGCUCUACUUGACAGAUUUAGAAGACCAUUUAACAGGUGGUAAAGGAACUGUUUCAAUAUCAAGAGCAAAUCACAAGUACAAAAGAGCCUGCAGAAAUGCAUGGUUCUUAAGAAAAAUAAUGAACCAUUAAAUUUACAUUUUUAAGGAUACAUAUUAAAUUGUUGCUUUUGGCCUUAAGACAAAUAUUAAGUUAUUGUUUUGAACCUAAGGCUUUUUUCUUUUCUUCUAUUGGCUCAUGCUGUAUUAUUAAUAGAAGUGAUAGGGAAGGUAAAAUUUGAUGCCAGAAAGUUGUGGCUGGAUUAAAAUAAUUUGAUAUACUUCUGUAAUAUGAAAUCAGUUUAUAAAUCAUAAAAUAUCAAGUACAUGAAUUGAGAACUUGUGUUAAAACAUAACUUAGGUGGUCGGUCAACAGUUACUUGUCUUUCCAUGAUCAAAGAUUUUGCCCACAUGAAGAUGAAUUAAUUUAAAAUUUUAUAAACUACUGAUCUUAUCUUCCUGUCUUUUUAGCAGUGAGCCAAAGAGAGAGCUGCUGAGUAAUUGCUUGAUCUGAUAGUAAUCAAAUUAUCUUCAAAUCGUACCCUACCUCCUUAAAUAGUCCAAUGCAACAUCAUGUCUGAAAAUCAAAAGAGGAGAUAGUCACUGCCUGGAAUACCUUUGAUUGUAGAUCAAAGCUGACCUGAAGCUGAACAACAAGAAAAUUUUUAUCAAUCUUUUCUUAGAUCUUCUUCAGAUAUUUUAUUCUAAUACACAUGCACACAUUCACAAACUUACACCUCUCUCUCACACACACACACACACACACACACACACACACACAAUUGUUUUGAUGAAGUUAUAAAAAAAGAACACACUUCAUUUUAAACAUAUAGUAGAUAUUUGUUAAUUUCAAUUCUGACCUCUCAACUAGCUACCUGUUUCCCUGUGUAAACACAGUAUCAUCAGAGAUCAGAAUAUACAUAUAAAAGGUUUUCACAUCAUUUAUAGUAGUUGUAGGAUAUUUAAAAAUUUGCUUAUAUGAGUAUUUUGACCUCUUUAUUUGAUGAUCCUGUCUUUACAGAGGGAAGCGGGUAGGUAGUUGUUAGGUCUAAAUCAGGGGUGGAGAAACUUUUUAGUGUGGUGGGCAAAAAUCUCCAAAGAAAACAGUCCACAGACAGAGAUGGAUAUAAAUAAUUUUUACACUGUAUCUUCUACAAUCUUUCAGCUUUUGUUUCAUAUAAAAUUUAUUUUGAUACAUGCAAUAUAUUUAAAAUUUUCUCAGCUAGAGUGUAGUUGGGUCUCAAGGGGAUGGUACAAACCUAGCAAUAUGUGUUUUAUAAUGGAAACAAAAUUUCCAUUCAAAUGGUAAUUACUGGACGAUUUCUGUUCAAGUUUGACCACUUUCACUCAUUGUAGAAAUGCGAGCUAUGUCGCAAAUAGGCAUAUGGGUAUUGUAUAAAUUUUACAAUUGAAAACUUUACUAUAUUUUAUAUGUGCUCCAGCAUGGGUACAGUCAAAUGACUGAAACAAAUAAAAGAGUAAAAGAAUACAGUAUGUCAGCCUGUGGGUGCAAUAAAAUGCAUUCAUGGGGCGCAAUUGCACCAGCAAGCAGGGUGUUUCCCUACCUCUGGUCUAAAUCAAAACAAAAUAGUGACUUCACUAGUGCUGGUGCCAUGAAAAAAAGGACCCAGUACUUGCUGUAAAGUGGUUGGAAGAGCAUUUAGCCAGAGAAACUAUAUCAAAGCAGAUGUUAGUACAUGCUGCAGUCACUAAGCGUGGAACACACAUGCACACACACACACACACACACACACACACACACACACUCACACAAAGACAGAGAAAGGGAGAGAUAGGGGAAGCAAGAAAAAAAUUUGAGUGUACCAUUAUCUCUCAGUCAGUGAGAGAGAACAUACCAUGGUUGAAAAGUAAACUUUGUGAGAUGUGGGGGGAAUUACACACAUGCACACACACACAUACAUGUUCCUAAAUAGUGUGAGUACUUUGAACUUUAUUUUUGACAUAAGAUCUCAACACUAAAUUUGCAGUUCCUACAAUAUUCACUAAUCAAAUUUUGGGGUCUAAAAAAGCCUUAUAUGUGGAAUUUGAUAGACAGGAACCUAUCAAAAGAUUCAUUCCUUAUUUUGUGCUAUAGCAGAUUUAAUCCAUUUCCCAGUUUAACAGCACCUUAUGAGUACCUUUAGCAGAGUACACUCAGCUGCAAGCAUUCAUGCCUGUUUUAGGGUAACUUCCACCCACCAGUUAUAGGGCCCUUAAUAGAAAUCAUUAUGCCGAACUGAAUAAUGUUUAGCUCAUUAUGAUGAUUAUGAUAAUGAUGUGAACUAUUUAGCGCUAUAAAUAUUGCCUCUUUAAUUCUAUUUUAGUUUCCACAAGGGUUUUAUCACUAAUGGAAGCUCUACUCCAUAGCAAUAUUUAAUUUUUCUUCUCUCACAAUACUUGUUCUAUUGUUAUUCUCGGUUUUAAUGCUUUCUCCUUAAUGAGAUCUCAGUGAUUUUUCUUCUAUUUUGAGGUUAACUUCCUUUGUAAGAUUUUCUGCAUACAUUUCAUCCUAUAUAAAAAUGAAGAUUUCCAUACUGAAUGCUAACUGAGAGCUGACACUUAUCAAUAGCUUCUUAUCUCACUACUGCUGCAUUGUAUGAACAUGCUAGCAUGACUUUCACACAGCCAGUGAAUUACAUGUUAGAUUAAUCUACAAUUACUUCUUCCCUCUGCUUCUAAUCUUAUAAAUACCGUGCAUUCAUAGCAUUAGAAACUUUAAUACUUCAACAUGUAAGGUAGUUUUAAUUAAAAAAUAUUUUUUUCCUAAUUAUAAUAUUAAAAGUCUUAAAAAUAAGAAACUAAAGAAAAAGAAGCAAAAACAAGAAACUAAAGAAAAUGAAGCAAAAACAAGAAACUAAAGAAAAAGAAGCAAACUCUAUUAACACUAUUUCAUAAUUUCUUUUCAUCUAAUUAUCUCCCCCCCACCUCUCCCAGUUUUUUUAUCUCUAAUUUUCUUUUGCAUUGAAAAUGAAAGUUAAAGGAAUUUUAUUCUAAGAAGAGAUAACACUUGAAUUGAAAGGAAUAUUACAGUUAUGAAAGAAAAUAUAACAAUUGGUUCUCAGGCUUCAGAUUUUGAAAAUAAAAGUUUUGAAAUAGAAAAUUAAUAUGCACUUAAUAAUUGAUCUUGGAAAUAAAUUCUCAGUAUGUUGCCAUAUUUUGUAUGUUGUUAUCUUUAAAUGGUUAGUUUGAAUCAUCAGGUGAACCACAUAAGAUAUGAGAUAUUGUAAAAUGAUUUUACAGUUUGCCAGAUAUCUUGUUAAUUGGCUGAAAGAUAAGAGAAAUUAAGCAUCAGCUGUGAAUUAAUAUUGGAUUUACAUUGCUUAUUUAGAUUUUCUCUAUCUUAUCAUCUGUCACUAGUGAUACCCUUGUAAUAUAAUUGACUUAAUGAGUAGAUUAUUAAAGAAUUCUUACAAGCACACCUGUGUAAAGUGUUAACAUGUAAGCAAUAUCAACAAAUACUUUUGUCUGGCAAAUAAUAAUAAUAAUAAUAAUAAUAAUAAUAAUAAUAAUAAUAAUAAUAAUAAAAUAAUAAUAAUAAUAAUAAUAAUAAUAAUAAUAAUAAUAAUAAUAAUAAUAAUUGUGUACAGUGCUCAGGUGCACUACAACUCAUCUAAAGUGUAUAUAUAAUCAGGUGUAGUUUCGGCGGAUUUCGGAAAGCAUAAUCUUUUCAUUAAAUAAUACUAAAAAUAAUGAAAGAUCUACAUUGUUUAGUUUCUGCUCUAUUUAUCAAUCUAAGGGUAGUUCCAGAGUGAUAAACAGUAGUACAAAAUGGUAAAAAUAUAUUAUUAGUUUAGAAAAUAUUUAGAUUCAAUGAAAAAAAAAAAUUUUUUUGAAGUUUGAUAUAGGAAAUUUUGCUGAUAAUUUUUAGCAAUUUAUUUCAUAUUUUGAGAUCAUAAUGUUCUGUAUUGUUUCUUAUUUGAUUUCUAUAGAAGGUAGAUUCAUGAAGCUAUCUUGGGAAAAUUAGGAAAAAUUUUCCAAAUAAGGUGGUUAAAUGUUAAUACUUUUGUAAAUUAGAACAAAUAUGUAUACUUUUCCAUUAGCAGAAUGAGGAUGCAAGCAGACCAGUGUGAAGGUGGUUGUUGGUUUUUAGCUCUUGAUCAAGUAGACCAAUGGUCAAAAGCAUUCUAGAUCCCAUCUCUCCGCUGGUAGUUUAUGCAUUGUGUUUUAAAAAACUAAAUUAUUUAAUGUAACUUUUUUUUAAAAAUUUAUUCUUUUUCAUUCUUCUACUUGUUUCGGUCAUUGUACUGUGGCACUGCUAGGACACAAGGGCUUAGUUGAUCAAAUCAACCCCAGUACUUAUAUUGAGUUUAGUACUUGUCCUUUUGGUCUCUUUUGUAAAACUUCUAAGUUACAAAGACAUAAACAGUCCAAAACUAAUUGUCAAGCAGGCUGAGACAAACACACAUACAUACGCACGCACACACAUACACACACAUGCACACUCUCUCUCUCUCACACACACACACACACACACACACACAUUAAUACUUGGAUUCCCUUUCUUCAGGAAAUCUACUGAGAAGCAUUUUGUCCAGUGUGGUAACAGUUCUGUUAGCUCAUGGUAAAAGUAGUAACAACAACUACAAUAAUAAAUACAUUCACAUAAUUAAAUCUUUAAGCAAAUAUUCUUCUGUUAUAAAUAUUAGAGAGAGGAAAUGGGAUGGGUGGUACCUGAGAAAUCACUUCCAAUUGUUUUCUAAUAUAGCCAUACAAAGAGUGUCAGGCAGUUUCACCUUGAUGUUACCAUGGUGACUGAUCCAAACAAACACAACUGUAAGGAGAUCAUAUUCAUGAGGUUAACUACUUCAGGUUGCAAAUCAAUUUGGAAGUAAGCUUAUCAAGAAUAUGAUACAGAAAUGUUAAAAUUAUAUUAGUACAUCACUGAGAAGUUUCAUGGCUUACAAGACUUUUGUGUUUGUGAAGUCAACUACUACAAACCUAUCAUUUUCAUUAAGGCAUAUAAAAUAUUUUCUCGGAUAAAUGAUCUAUAGUUUCUGAUGUCAUAAACAAUCGAUAGUACUGCUGCAGAUAGACGUGUGGUGGUAGUGAUAGUAAUAACGGAGGUGUUUGUGGAGUUGAUUGACUUUUGCUGUACUUGAAAGAGAAAAUAAGUCUUGAUAAUUGAAUAUAGUUGAGAUUGAAAGUAACUUUUUAGAUUGAGUUUUUUCAGAAAUAAUGUGUUAUAAUUUUUUUCUCUGUGAGAAAAUAAUUAUUUCCAUUCAUAUGAUUUGCUAAAAUAUAAAAUAACCUUUCUAAUAUUGAUAUAAGUCCUAGUCAAGUACAUAUGUGUGCGUUUUUAUUGAUUCUGUCCUCAUCCCAUCAAAAACAUUUUAAGCCUUGAGCCAAUGUUAGAAAUCAAUAUUGAUUUGUUUUAACUAGAUAAAAGUGCAUAUUUUUGUGAGGGAUUUGGUCGGUUGAAAGACUCAAGUAUAUGACAGCUACUAGUGUUUAUUUUAUCAACAGCAAAUGAAUAAAAGCCUCAGUCAAUUCCUAUGUGAUUCAAACUUUGGAUGUUGAAGACUGGUACCAUGUAUUACACUUUUAAAAAAUAUUACUUUUUUUUCCUCUAAUUUGGUACAAAGUUAUUUUUCAAAAAGAAAGGUUACUUUGAAAACCCUGUAACCUUUUAUCCUUGAAGAGAUAAAUGGAAUUCUAAAUCCAAAGAGAUGGAAAUAAAUCUUGUUAGUCAUUUCAUCUAGCAAGCUAUCAUUUCUGUCAGAGAAUUUCCAUAUAGUCACUGAAUCUGCUAGAAAUAGCAGUUAAAUCUCCAUCUGAUCACACUUCAGUGUCAUAAAAAAAGAAACACUGGGUAAUCCAAUCUUUGGUGUACUGUUUUGGAUAACAAUGGAACAAUCACUGCUGGAAUAUCUUUGAUCAGCUGGAGUUAAUCAAUGAUAACAACAAUUCAAAUUCAAUUACCAAUUCCAUUGAUAUCAAUUCUUUAGCAUUGACAUUGUCUACAGUUUUAUUAGGAAUGGAUACGGUUGAUUUAAUUAACUUUCACUAUGCUAAUUAUGCUGGAGGGUUUAAAAAUGAUAUGAAUACCUGCAACAUUUGAAUUUAGAAGAUGAAGAGACUUAGCCAUAUACUAUAAAGUAUUUUAUCCAGUAAUGUACUAAUUGUGCAAUAUUUAUUGAUAACUUUAAUGUUGAUAAUGAUUUUGUCUAGGAUGAUGUGUCUUGUACAAUUAAUUUUACAUUUGAUUGAGAUGGUUGGCACCUCAUAGCUGCUUUGCUAUCUUCACAUUCUAAUAGAAAGGAAAGCUGUUUUUAUCUUACAAGUCCUAACCACAAUGUGAGAAAAUCUAAAGAAAAAUUCACAGGAUUUAUUUGUCAUGAAAUCUAUUUUCAUUAACAUACUACCAAAAAUCUAGUCUUCGAUGGUGUUGAUAAUGAUAAUAAUUUCAAAUUUUGGUACCAAGGCUAGGAGUUUCAGUGAGGAUACAAGUUAGUUGGUUAAAUCAACCCUAGUGGUUGACUAUAAAAUUUUAUAAAUAUUUAUAAAACAUUUUUUUGUGCAUUCUACUGAUUUUGCUAUCCAUCAUCCCAAUAGUAUUAAUAAUAUUAAUUUUAAACAUUAACAGAUGUAAUUUUAAUAAGAUACAUCAUUGGAAUUUGUGUAUGUGUAAAUGUUACCCAUCAUAGCUAAGGCCAAACUGGAAUACUAUGUAUAUCACCAUCAUCAUUAUCAUCAUCAUUUUACAUCUUAUUUCCAUGCUGAUAUAGGUUUGAUGGUUCAACAGGAUGCCACAAGUCAGGGGACGGCAUCAUGCUCCAGUGCCUCAGUUUUGGCAUAUUUUCUACAGCUUGAUGUCCUUCUUAAUGUUAACUUCUUUACAGAGUCCACUGGAUCCCUUUUUUUUUUUUUUUGUGACACCAGCACUAGUAAGGUCUCUUUUCAACUUGCAUGACUUGAUUGCCUAAAGAAUCUCUAUGGCUGAAAGGGGGAAAGAUGUGAGGAUUUAGGCAAGAUGAUGAGAGAGGGUACGAUAAGAUGAGAGGAAUAGCUUUAUUGUUGUCCAAGGGUAGGGUUUCCUUCAUACCAAAGUAAAAAUUACAUGUACACUCUUAUAGUGUAUAUAUCUAGAAUUGACAUAUAUCAGUAUUUCAACAUCUAAUUCAGAUAUAUUAGCAUUUAAAGCUCCAUAAAUAUCUCUAGUUAUAUUCAAAUGAUUGCAUAUUAGUGUAUAUUUUAUUUCUUUCAUACAUAUUUCAUAUUGAUUGAUGUAAAAAAAUUUUAAACCUAAACUGUAAAUAUAUAUAUCAACAUGAAUGGAAAUUGGCACUGUGAUUCAGUGCUGGUGGCACAUAAGAGAACCAUCCAAACGUGGCCGUUGCCAGUGCCGCCCUGACUGGCUUCCAUGCCGGUGGCACGUAAAAAGCACCAUCCGAUCGUGGCCGUUGCCAGCUCGCCUGGCCUCUGUGCCGGUGGCACGUAAAAAGCACCAUCCGACCGUGGCCGUUUGCCAGACUUGUCUGGAACCUGUGCAGGUGGCACGUAAAAAGCACCCACUACACUCAUGGAGUGGUUGGCGUUAGGAAGGGCAUCCAGCCGUAGAAACAUUGCCAGAUCAGACUGGGCCUGGUGCUGCCUUCUGGCUUCCCAGACCCCAGUUGCACCGUCCAACCCAUGCCAGCAUGGAAAGCGGACGCUAAACGAUGAUGAUGAUGAUGAUGAUAUAUUAAAGAGUUUGUAUAUGAGAAGACAACUAACACAGGCUCAUGCACAAAUAUACACAUAGAGACAACAUGCAUGCUCAUGCAUACAUGCUCUCACUCACACAUGCUCUCACUCUACAUCAGAGCAUACCUAAUUAAUGUUGAGGAUUUGUCAGCUUUGAAGUAUGUUUUCUCACAUGACUUCUGGUGUCACAAAUACCUUAAUAUGGAAAUAUUCAUCCAAUGUAUUUCAAAUGAAAACAUAAUGUAUACAGAAAUACUAGUGAAAUUAUUAAUUGUGCAAAUUGUAUAUUCUGAACAAGUAACCAAACAAUAUAAAUAUAAGAUAUGAAAGCUUGAACAGAUGAGAGAACUUAUCUAUAUUGUUUCUUUCCUGUUAAAAUUAGCAACCGAAUCUCUCUUAAUUCAUACACCCUAUCAAAGAAUACAUUGAGUAAUAAAGUUUUAGAUACAUUAUGACUAAAAAAGUGUCAAGAUCUUCAUAAGGAAAAGAGUAUUUGAUCAUAGGUUUUCUCAUUCAAGGCUGCCUGGAAUUAAUCAACAGUAAUGUAUAAGAAAUUCAAAUAAAUCUGUUUGAUCAGUUAAAAGUAUGUUUAAAUCUGACCAGCGGCAGCGAUUAUUCUUAUAUCUAUAAGAAUACCAUAUUAAUAUGGCGAUAACAAAUAAUUUCCAAUAAACACUGUCGUAAUCUCUUUUAUAGAGACUUAGUAAUUUUAAUAUUUCUAUUAUUGAAAACAAGUGGAUGUAUUCCACUGAAACUAGGUAAAUGUAAGCCUUCGAACAGAGACGUCAGUGGCGACACCUGCGGGGUCUGACUGCACUACAUUGACAAGGGGCAAUACCCCGAAACGCGUCUGUAGCUGUCGGACUGGCAGUGUGAAGCGGCUGACCUCCCUUGUUCGAAGGUUAUAAUGGAUACAGAUCAUGUAUCAAUAGCUAUCUUAAGGCGGUGGCCUCAUGGAGCUGACCAGCGGCAGCGAUUAUUUUUAUAUCUAUAAGAAUACCAUAUUAAUAUGGCGAUAACAAUUAAUUUCCAGUAAACGCUGUCGUAAUCUCUUUUAUAGAGACUUAGUAAUUUUAAUAUUUCUAUUAUUGAACUGUAAUAGUUUAUAACAUUAAAACAUCUAAUUUUUUUUACAAAGAUACAUCAAUAUAAUUUUGUGAUGUGCACGUGUCAUUUAAUUCUUUAACUUGAUUUAGCCAACAUGGAUAAGACUGCACUGAUCAUUAUUUACAUUUACAGAAUAAUACAUGUCAACAAGGAAGCAAUACGUGGUUGCUUGUCAUGCUAGAAAUAGCAGUGAAAUCUAAGUAAAUGCUGUUUGUUUCAUCAAAGGAAACCCCAUUUUGAGACUUUUACGAUUUAAACUUUGAGACAUUAUAAGUUAAAGUGCAAAAAUACAACCUCUCUUCUCCACUCACUCAUUUUGAACAGACACUGGUCUGUUUUGGUUUACAUUCCUAAAUAAAUGGUUUUGACUCCCAGGUGAUAUGUAAAUUGAUGCAUUUACCAAAAUGUUUUACUCCAAAACAACAAAGCAUCCACUGCAGAGCCAUGCUUAACCAUCUUCUAUUUUGCUCUAUUAAUAACUUUUGCUGAGCUUGAGUGGGUUCUAUCAAUCACAACAUGUUAGAUUUUGUUCACUGGGAAAUACUCAAUCCAGUGCAUUCCAUGGAUUCUAGUGUUGAACAGUUUUAACAUUAGAAUGUUGUGGUUGACAUUGUUGCAGGCCUUACUGAAGUCAAGACAUAUCAUAUCAGUAUUUGAUGGGUUUUUAAGUCUUUUGAUUUUCCUGAUGACUGUCUUUUUUCCUUUUUCGAGAGCCUAGUUCUAUUUGUACUAAUGAGUUUUGUUAGAGCAUGUUUUAAAAACGAAUAGGUGACAAUAUUCUGAAACUGGUACCAAGUUGCUUCAGUGUCAGAGAAUGUAAAUGAAGAACCAGUUGAUAAGCAACAUAUCUUGUCUAAGAUCUCGUCCAGUCUUCUUUGUGAAGAUUGGUGUUACUGAAUGGGUAUGCUGGGGUAAGAGUGACUGGUUUGGUUUUGGCAUGUUGGAAACUAAGAUUGAAGAGUACAAUAUCACAGCCACAGAGAAGAGGUUUUCAACUGAAAUCUUAUGGUCAGAGCCAGAGUGAUUUGUUGAUAUCAGGUCGAAAACAUUUCUGUUUUGUCUUGUCGGCUGAAGCACAAGUGGGGAUUGGAAAAAUUCAUCCAUGAAACUAAAUAGCAAUUCUUCUCUUUACUUGGUUUCAGGGUAUUUCUAUGCCAAUUCACAUAUGGAAGGUUAAAGUCACCCACCACUAAUAUGUUUUCAAAGUUGUGCUUUUGGAGAAAGGACUUGACAUUUUUGAGGCACUCUGCAAAGCACUGUAGAGGUGCUUCAGAAGGCCUAUAGAGACCGGCUAUAGUUAUAUCAUUAGUUUUACUGCAAACUGACAGAUUCACAAUAACCAUUGUGAAUAACCAUAUGUCCUUUGCAUCCAUGAUAAAGGAAUAAUAGGAGAAAAACAGCUACUUCUUUAUAUCACCCAGUGUGGUCUGCAUGACUGAUGGGGUAAUUACUUGAUAUUCUGCUUGGUAUUCAUGUGGGAGUUGUUUUAGGUGGGUACCCAUUAGGAUGAAUAAUGGGAUGCAUUUCUGCAAUCCAAUUUUCUAUGCACAGAAACUUUCACUUUUGAGUAUUAAGUGAUGAGUUGAUGUCUCACACAUUAAGUUGGAAUGUCAAAAUGAAGGUUGUGUGAAAUAUGUGUAAUAUUAAAGGCUUUGAUUUAUGUGUAUUGUUGUUCAGUGGCAACCCUGGGGACAGUUUGUGUAUGGAGUCAUUUGCGGGGAGUAAUGUUUGAUUGAUGAUCUCUCUCUCUCUCUCUCUCUCUCUCUCUCUCUCUCUCUCUCUCUCUCUCUCUCUCUCUCUCUCUCUCUCACACACACACACACUUCAAGUAUUUCUUUUUUUUCAAGUCAAAACAAGGCAAGUUAAAAAUACAGUUUGAUGGUUUGUACUGUUACCUGGUAUUUCAAUAUUUCAGGGUUUGGAGCCCUUCUCCAAGAAAUCUAUGGAGAAAAGGUGUUGAUUGUUGACUUCUUAGCUAGCAGCACCUUUCCUGAAGAAGGAGUCCUAACCAUGAAAUAUUGAAUUACUAAGUAAAAGUACUAAUCACCAACCUGUAUUCUUAAUAUUUAACUUUAAUAUUUAAGGCGCAGGAGUGGCUGUGUGGUAAGUAGCUUGCCAAACAACCACAUAGUUCCGAGUCCAGUCCUACUGCGUGGCAUCUUGGGCAAGUGUCUUCUGCUAUAGCCUCGGGCCGACCAAUGCCUUGUGAGUGGAUUUGGUAGACGGAAACUGAAAGAAGCCUGUCGUAUAUAUGUAUAUAUAUAUAUGUAUGUGUGUGUGUUUGUGUGUCUGUGUUUGUCCCCCUAGCAUUGCUUGACAACUGAUGCUGGUGUGUUUACGUCCCCGUCACUUAGCAGUUCGGCAAAAGAGACUGAUAGAAUAAGUACUGAGCUUACAAAGAAUAAGUCCCGGGGUCGAUUUGCUCGACUAAAGGCGGUGCUCCAGCAUGGCCACAGUCAAAUGACUGAAACAAGUAAAAGAGUAAAAGAGUAAAGAGUAUUGGUUUGGCUUUAAAAAAAAAUCAGUGGUAAGAAGCUUGCUUCUCAACCACAUUUUUAGGUUCAGUCCCUCUGCGUGGCACCUCGGACAAGUGUCUUCUAUUAUAACCUUGGGCUGACCAAAGCCUUGUGAGUGGAUUUGGUAGACAGAAACUGAAAGAAGCCCAUUGUAUAUAUGUGUGUGUGUAUAUUUGUUCCCCCCCCCCCCACUAUUGCUUGACAACCGUUGUUGGUGUGUUUAUGUCCCCUUAACUUGGUGGUUUGGGUUAAAGAGACUGAUAGAAUAAGUACUAGGCUUACAAAGAAUAAGUCCCGGGGUCGAUUUGCUUGACUAAAGGCGGUGCUCCAACAUGACUGAAACAAAUAAAAGGAUAAAAGAGUAAAAGAAUAUAUAUGAGACAAUACUUCAUAAACAUACACACACACACAUUCAGUCUUGUUUUGGUACUAUACACACACAUAUCAGUUUUGUGUCUUCUUUUCCAUAUUGCACACACACACACACGCACACACACACACACACACACACACACACACACAUAUCAGUUUUGUGUCUUCUUUUCUAUAUUGCACACACACACACACGCACACACACACACGCACACACACACGCACACAUUCACACACACAUGCUUCAAUAUUCUUUAUAUCAAUCUCAUCUCUUAAUUCAUAAUUUAUUUAAUAUUUCAGUAUCUGUACAUUGAGUCAGGGUGGAAUAUCUUGUGAUCUAAGUUAUCAGUAAGAAGCGUGACUGCUGUGCUAAGUGGCUGAUGAAUUAAUAAUAAAAGAUUAAAAGUUCAGUUGAAAUAGAUAAACAUGAAAUGGUAAACAUGAAAUGUAUGGUUUUAUAGGUAAUGGUGCAUUUGCAAGUAUUAUGACAUACACAGAAAUGCUGCAAAACAAAGUAGAUGGAAACUCAGUUAUUUAGUAAAUAUUUAAUUUAUAGAGUUGCAGUUUCAGCUUACAACAUUCCAUUAUAUCUUGUAUAUGAGUAAUUUUAUAUUGGACACAGACAUAGCUGAAUGCUUAAGUUUACUUUGUAGUCCUGCAGUAUCAAGUUUGAUACCAUGGUGCAGUAUCAUGGAUAGAUCUCUUUUACCAUAGUCUAGUCGUGGGUUUGGUUGACCAAACUUUUGUUAGCUGCUCUCCAGCCAUCUAUUUAAAACUGUAUACAGCUAUGGUACGACCACACUUGGAAUUCGCAUCAUCAGUUUGGAACCCCUAUCUUGCUCAGAACAUUGACCUCCUGGAAUCUGUUCAGAGACGUGCAACCAAACGCAUACCCUCCAUCAGACACCUACCAUACUCUGAGCGCCUUGUUUCACUGAAGCUCCAGCGUCUGGCGAUGAACUUGGUAAACACCCACAAAGUUAUCAACCACCUCACCAAUAACAACACUGAACACCUUUUUGAUCUUCAUGUGUCUAACACACAUGGACAUGCCUACAAAGUCAGAAAACAACACAGCUCCCAUGACUUUCGGAAACAUUUUUUCACGCUCAGAGUUGCUGAAGCAUGGAACAAACUGUCUGCAUCAGUUGUUGACUGCCAUGACACUGCAUCCUUUAAGACCCUCAUGCUUUCCGAAAUCCGCCGAAACUACACCUGAUUAUACAUACACUUUUGAUGAGUUGUAGUGCACCUGAGCACCGUACACAAUGUUUUUGUUAUUAUUAUUUUUAUUAUAAAGCCUUGUGAGUGAAACUGGCAACUGUUUGGAAGGCUACCAACUGGAUUGAACAUGUAAUUCAAUGGAACAGCCUUGUCACGCACACACUCAUACAAUUUUUUCCAUGAGAAUUACAUUAAGGGAAUAAAAAUCUGUGGAAAUCUCAGCCACUUAUAUGUUAACUCAUUGAGUAGGCUGUUCCAGUGAUCAAAUGACUUGAACACUCGUUGUCCGAGCCAAUAGACAGUCGUGAUUAAUUUUGAGUCAUGUAAAAGAUGAACAGUACUCAAAACAUAGUAGAUUUUAUAUAGUUCCAUAUUUAAUUAUUGAAGUUAAAUAUGUAUAUUGCCAUUAGUUAAAAUACUGCCUGACAAAUCUCAGGUUAGUAUAAAAUUUCAAUCUUCAUGAUCAUCAUCAUAUUUUUACACCUGCUUUCUAUGCUUGAUGGCUUGGAUGGGUUUCUCCACUCAUCCUUUGUCAUCUUGUACACAUAGCAAGAAAGAAAGAUAGCCAGCUUUGUUGCUGUGUGUGUCAUGUUUCUAUGGUUAGAUGCCUUUCCUAGUACCAACCAUUUUACAGUAAGUCUGUGUAUUUUAUCAUAACAUUGGCAUAGAGAAAUUAUCAUUGGUAGAGCUAAACUAUCUUGUAUCAUUGUCCUCUCUACCCUGUUCUAGUGUUUUUAUUAGGAGUUGUUGCUCUCUGAGAUGGAUUUCCUGCUGCAAUUUUAAGUUCACAUUUCCACCUUUUGUUCUUUUCUUUUAUUUUGCAUGGAGUUUUAUACAACUGGAUAUCCUUAGAAACCAUUUUACAUGGACUAAGGACAUUUUAUCUUGUCACAGGUAUCGAGAGAGGAAAAUCUUUCAUUCUGUAUUGUACUACCUCAACUUAUAUCGAUUCUUCUUCAGAACUGAUACUCUUCUAGACAUAUUUCUUUUGCUGUACAGUACCCAGACUAUACUUAUCCCAUUUGUUCGUAACUUUCUUUGUAUUUGAUAUGGUUUUUUCAUGUGGAUGUGCGGGUGGCACGUAAAAAGCACCCACUACACUCACGGAGUGGUUGGCAUUAGGAAAGGCAUCCAGCCGUAGAAACACUGCCAGAUCAGACUGGGCCUGAUGAAGCCUUCUGGCUUCACAGACCCCAGUUGAACCGUCCAACCCAUGCUAGCAUGGAAAGCGGACGCUAAAUGAUGAUGAUGAUGAUGAUGAUGAUGAUGAUGAUGAUGAUGUCCAUCAUGUUUUCAACCACUUUACAUUGUGGACAUGAUGCAUUUUAAUGUACCAGCAGCACCAGAGAGGUUGUCUGCAGCACGACUAAAGAGUUUUUUUGAUCCUGUAUUAGUUUCUAUGUAGAAUGUACUGAACAUUUUAUACGCACAUAAUUAAGAUUAAUUUGAAUGAUCAGCUCUAACUUAUUAUUCAGAUUAUUUUACACUGGACACUAUACUUUACAAAUACAAAUUUGUAAUGACAUGUUAUGGAUAUUUUUUUUAUCAACUAUUGUUAUUUUUUUUUGUAUAUUUAAGAUGUCAUACUCUUUUAACAUUGAUUUUUCAUUGUAUGUUACACUUUCAAGAUGAAUUCCUCUAAUUUAAUUUAAUUAUGAAAAUUAUUUUGUGAAAUUCUCAUUUCUUUUUUUUAUUUAUUUCAGGUUAAACAAAAUAUCAAUUAUUAUUUAGAUUUUUGGAUGGAAUUACCAAUAGCAUCAGAUUACUUUGUAGCAUGGUAAGGAUCUAAUUAUUUUUGUCUUUAUACAUUACAUUAUGUACAUAUAAACAUGCUCUCAUACAUUUAUACAUUAUACAUACACACAUGCACAUACAUUUGUAUGUGUAUGUAUGCACACUCACAUAUACACAUAUAUAUAUAUAUAUAUAUAUAUAUAUAUAUAUAUAUAUAAUUAGUUAAUUUAUUAUUUCUGCCUUCCACUUAUAAAAUAUUAUGUUACUAGUUUGUAUGGAGUAUUCAAAGUUUGAAUUCAUAAAAAUUAAAAUUUAUUCUUAAAUCCACUGAGAUUCUUUUUAACUUAACCAUGUUUAACUCCCUUAACCAUCACCCAAUAUUUUAUGUAGUCCUGCUUCACCAUAAAACUCCUUGCAUACAUACCUUUAUGAUGUUUAACUUUCAAUCUAUAUAUUAGUUACACCUAUGUCAUUAUUUCCCACAAUCUGUGACCAAUGUCUUUUCUCUCCUGUGCAGACUUGUUUAUAUACUUCCAUAUGAAACUCACUGACAAAGUCAAAUCUUAUCUCACGAUAUAAUUUUCUAAGUGGAAAGGUAGAACAAAUCCUUAACAUUCCUGUACACUAUAUCACAUUGCUUCUUAAAUACAAAACUAAUAACUUACAAGAAUUAACUUUUUAAAUGUUACAUAUUUAUAAAUGUCAAGUGGUUUCUAAUAUGGUUUAAAUGAAAAAAAAAAUGGUAUUCAGUCAGAUUUAUUGUACCCAAGAACCUCAGCAUCAAGAAGAAAAGAACUAAAGGUACUUUAACUGUAUGAGGUAACAAGGAAAAGCAGUGAGCUUCAUCUGCACCCUAACUAUAGCGAAAGCAACAUUGCCUUGCUGUUGAAUCUUUCUUCCUGAUAUAGAUGAAGCUUGAACAUCCUGGUCCAAAACUCUUAUCUUGUUCUGGAUCAAAAAAUGGUCACCUUUAAGCAGAAUGAGGAGUAGAAAGGUAAGAAAUCUGGUUGAUUAGUCCUGUGUUAAACAUGAAAACUUGAAGAAUUUAGAGAAGAUACAAAAUGUCUCAAGUUUACAGUUGUCUGAAAGGGCAGAAAGAAUCUGAUAAACAAUGUAAUAAAAAAGCCAAGACAGCAAUUCUUCAGAAAGGGAGAAUAUUUGAGGGAAGGUAAGACAUUGAAAGUAUCUUUCACAAAGUCUAGGAAAAUAAAAGGUUGACAGAAUGGAUUAGCAAUCCUUUGAGUAAUCUCGGAACUGAAUACAGGAAUAUACAUAUUUCAACAAUGGUUCUUAGACUGACAAAUACAAGUCCCACUUGCACAUCCCACUGCCAAUCUGUCCCACUCUUUCAUUAAAGGUAAAAGCAAAAUAGAAUUUGCAUCUACCUAAUUUUUUUUUUUCUUCACCAAAGAUUUGGACAGCUUAAAAUAACCAUCUGAAUUUUAUUAAGCAUGGAAAUUUGUUUGCUUUGUUUUUCAAAUUUCACAACUUUCUCUCAUCAGGGAAUUCUAGAAGAAACACUGUCCAAGAAGACAUCUAAGAAAUCAAAUCAGAUCACUUGUCAUGGAUAUGAUAGCCAGCAUUGUGAACUGAGUUUUUAAUUCACAGACAGACCGUCUCCUACUAGGAUGAUAGAUGCAUCUUCUAUCAGUGAGCUCUGCAGCUUUCACCUUGACUGUUGUAGACAUAAACUACUUUAAAUCUCUGCACUUCACGGUUAUUUAACAAAUGAUCAUUAUAUAUCUCUAAGUAGAAUUAUGUGUGUGUGCUACUGCCUUCAUGUGUGUGUGAGUGUGUGUGAGUAUUAGUAUGUCUUAAUAGGGUGUGGACUACAAUACAACAGUCCAUUACUACUGUAUUUUAAUAUUAGUGGUUUGAGGUGAUAUGAUAUGUUCUUGGUCAAUUAAAUCCUUGACCCUGUUUCACAUCUUACCAGCAAUUAGAAUAUAAAUUUCAUGACUUCCUAGUUUAUCUCCCUUUACAAAAUGUUCAAAUGUCAUAUUGAUGUAAGUUAUUAUUUUUUUCUAGUAAUUGAAUUGAAGGAUUACAUUUAAUUUUGUAAGUAAAUAGCUGUGCUUAAGUUAUUUAAAGUCAUAUUUAUUUUAAAUUCUCUUUUAGGAAAGUAUACUGUCCCUUCCUUUUUCAUAAAUUUUAAAUUGGAAAUAUAGGGAUUUAUGUGGAGAGAACUUUUAAAUGCUUAUAUAUAUAUAUAUAUAUAUAUAUAUAUAUAUAUAUAUAUAUUUAUAUCACGUGAUCAUGUGACCGACCAGGCUAUCAGAUGUUGCUACACAUCGCUGGUCACAAUGCGCUUUGCAUUGUUUUAGCCUUCAAAUGACGCCACCCCGCUGGCUAAGCGAGCAGGCCAUAUAUAUAUAUAUAUAUAUAUAUAUAUAUAUAUAUAUAUAUAUAUAUAUAUAGUGAGAGAGAGAGAGAGAGAGAGAGGAAGGGAGAUUAUGUGUGUGUGUGUGUAUGUGUGAUAUAAAACACGUUGUACCAAAUUGUAAGUUUAUGAAUAACCUUAAGUAGACAGAAAUAUGACAAAUAAAACUUUUUUAAAAUAAACUUUUUUUAUUCUGCAUAUGUCUUGCCCUCUAUGUUUCACUCUUUAUAUAUCUUUACACAUCUCAUUAUUAUAUUAUGUGUAUGCAUGUAUGUAUGUCUCUAUGGAAUGCAGGUUUUAUAUGUCCUUAUAUAUUUUAACAAAACCGGUAAAGAGCUUACCUAUAUGCCUUAAAAGUUUAUUUAUGUCUUUCAUAACAAUUUGUCUAUGUCAGUGAUUAUAAUCUUAUAUAAAGAGACAUUUAUAGACAUAUGCUGUGUUAUCAUAAGACAAGGGUACACUAGAUUGUGUUGCUUGGAGAACCCUUUCUUCUAGGGUCCAGUGCUAAUCUAUGUAUGGUAUGGUUGUGUAUGAAGGCAACCCAGUACAUUGAUUUGCUCCCUAAUGCUGUUGAGACAGCUUUGUAUGUGUGUAUGUGUGUGUGUGUGUGUGUGUGUGUGUGUGUGUGUGUCUAUAAAUAUCUCUCUAUAUAUCACUAUAAAUUUUUGGUUAUUAAUUUCAUCUUUAGAGUUAAGUAUUAAAAAAUAAACUAGCAAUACAACAUAAAUUUUACAUUUAUUCACACCUGAAAGUUUCCUAGUUUGCCUCUGGUUUGAUACUGUUUACACAUCCAGGAAUAAAACACCUGGGGGACUGAUCAAAUUGUCAUAUAGAUGUAAAUAUUAAACUUACUUUUUUGUUCCAUAUCUAAAGUAAAGUCUGAAAAUUAUUAUCUUUACAAUAUUAUAUAUAAUCUGGUUUAUAUAUAUCUGGAUUUAACGCAUAUAGCCUGGUUAUGUGCAUUUGUUUUACUAACUUUUUAUUAUAUUUCCUUGCAUUCAAUCGAAUCAUUGGAAGAUGAAAUAUUCUUUCUUUUGGAUUUCAUGUCAACAAUACUAAUAAAAUAACUUCUUGAACAAGAUAUACAAAUAUGGAAUAAAAUUAGGAAUAUAGAUUCCAAUCUAUUGAAUAUUAUUUAGACAAUUGAAAGGCUUUUUUAAGUAAGAGCUAUAUCAUCUCCAAAUAAAUAUUCUAACUUCCAUUAUUAUCUUCAUCAUAUCUAUUACCACUAUCAAUAAGCAAAAAUUAUAUUUAUUAACAAUAUUUAAUUAAAAGGUUAAAUAAAAAAAGUACUAUUCUCAAGGGAAGCUACUCUUCAAAUUUUUGUAUUUACUUCCCUUGUAUAAGACUGCUAAGCUUUGCAUAAUGAUUUUUACUAUACAGAUUUUGAUAGCGCUUGCAGCGCUGUUACAGAAAUAUUGCCUGUUCCUCAUUGAUCAAUUUUUGAUAAGGAUUACUAUGAAAAUAUAUUUUACUAUUACUGUCUGUUACAGUCUCUGGUUGUUUUCCCUAUACUACCUUAGUGAAUUUUAACAAAAGCAACUAUUUCGUGUAUAACCGAAAAUGUUUUUAAGAAAGAGUACCAUAAUUGAAUAAUAAUAGAUAGGAUAUAAAAAUGUGGUAUUGAUUAUGAAAUAACUAUCUGUAUAUAGGUGUUAAAUAACAAUACAAAAAAAUCACACACUACUAUCUUUAAAAGAAAAGGCCACUAUUGAUAAUAUUGUCCUUGAAAGUAUCUGGGAGAGAAAAAAACGACUGGCUGGUUAAGAAAGCCAUUGAUUGAAGGUCUGAAGAACGGGAAAUAAGAAACAGUAUAUCUAGUGGUAGUUUAGAAGUAGGCACAUAGGUGUAGAGAGUGAGAACAUUUUGUUUCAUCCUUCAGUUUAGAUUAGUUUUGGAUUUCUUUUGUAUAUAAAUUACUCUUGGACUUAAUACUCUUCAUUAUUUUAUUUAAAGCAUCAGUUAUAUAUUUCAUUUUUUACAAAGGCAAAAUGCCACAAAUUCUAAUGGAAGGAAAUUGUCAAGGAAAUUAAUCUCAAUACUUCAGUUGUACUUUGAGUCCUAAAACAGUGAAAGACAAAAUCAUUAUCAGUAGGUUUUGAACUUAGAAUGUAAAGUAUUAUGACUAAAUAUUACAAAAUAUAUUUCUUGAUUUAUUCAAAAGAAUAUUUGUGACCCUUUUCCAUAGCUUCUGAAACCAGUGGCAGGAGGAAAGGAUAGGGAGCAUCCAACACCUUUUUCAGGACUUGUGAAAUUGGCAUGAGAAAUAGAGGAGGUUAUUCUCAGACAUGAUGUUUUACCUGCAUAUUUCUAACAGCAGAGACUACUUGGAACAUUAUUAAGUUAUAUGGUAGUAUUAAACCAGAUGAUGGAUUCAGUCUACCAAUACUCUGCGGAUCAUGUCAAUCUGCCACCUUAAUAUUUAUUGCAGCCUUUCACUAAAUGUUGAAAACAGUAUUUCCCCUUUGUUUUCAAAUAGUGAAACUGAUAAUAUAAAAUAAUGAUUACAAUAAAAUUUAAUUGAAAGUAAAUGUUCUAUCAGAUUCCUUCUAUUUUAUUUUUAAAUUAAAUUGAGACAUCUGAGCUCUAUUGGAAUUUAAUUAAGAAAUCUUCAUUUUUAAAAAUAAAAGUAUGCUUGUCAUUGCAUAACACAUAUGGUACAGGGUUCACCAACAACCAGUGUUAUUUAGAUGUUCGCACUAUGAGAUUGCCAACCAAGGCUUAAGAGCUCAUCAUCUAUCUGCCUCAGAGACAUCAUUGUCCCCCAGCAAAUUUCAACUAGGUAUUACAAUGGUUUUUUUUCUGGGGAUCUGUAACCAGGGAGAAGAGACCUAUUCUAGGUACUGUCAGGCAGAGUUAUUUCAGCUCAGAACAUAUGUUAGGCACGUAAUAAAUAAGCUCACUACCUGUUAUCUUGAAAUUUUACUAUACUAUAGAGACAUAAUGAGACAUUUUACUACAAUUUUACUAUAGAGACAUUUUACUACAAUACAGACAUAAUGAAUAAAGUUUCAUUAUGCCAUAUUUUUCUCGAGUAAAAGUAACUCUUUCUAAAUAACAACUGCAACAUCACUAAAAAGAUAAUCGUCUGAAAUUAUUAAUUAGAUGGUGUGUCUGUACUGCAAUUCUUUUGGCUUGUUGACCUAGCAACCCAACUACUUUCUCUCGUGUAAUCAUAGCAAGAAAAUACACCUGUGAAAUGAUAAAGAUCGAUCAGUUAUCUUGAAAUGGCUGCAUUGCUGAAUUGAUGACCUACAGACAAAAGUUUCAAACCAUGUCAUAGGUGUCGUGGUUUUUGAAUUAGGCAUAUUUAUUUGAUUAUGUUCAUUGAGCUAGAAAAUAAGUAUUAAUCCUUCUUUAUUGUAGUGUGGGUGGCAUUAGUAUAUGUUAGAUGUCAAGUGAGGGAUUAUGUUAAUCUAUUCUUGCCAUGGUAACUUAAAACAAAUCAGUAAGAACAAGAUCUAAUCAUUACAGAUAUUUUCUAAUGUUGUUGCUGCUGCUGCUGCUGCUCAUAUAUUGCCCCAGAUUGGCCCUGAAUUACCAUACUUAUGAUCAAAGACAUUCUAGCUAUGACCGUCCUGUUUUUUUUCCAAACUACGUUGUCCAUUGUAUCUUUCUUUUUUAAGUUGGUUGCUGAGAUUCAAAGGAAUUUAGGUUGCUGUUUCUAGCACAGCAAACAACCACAUUAUGGUUCUAUUGUUGUUUGCAUUUUCUGGUGACAAAAACCAAAAAGUCAAUUUUAUUUCAAAAGUAAUGUUGAAUAUGAGAGUAGAUUGGGGGAAGUGCUGGAGUGUUAAUAAGAUUCCAUGUGGUACUUAUUUUAGCACACAAUAUUUCUAUUGUUUCGUGUGUCUUUUAUUUUUUAAAUUUCAUUAUGGAUUAGUCAGAGGAGAGAGGUCAGUGACCUUGCAUUUUUUCAGGAUCUUUAAUAUUGGUGACAUAGAUAGAAGGGAUUAUCUUGAACCUGGAUACCUUGUCUGAAUGCUUACCCGAGAGUAAGCUGCCACUGAUUAGUCGAUCAGUUUGUCUACGCUUACAUAUCCUAUUAUAACUGUUUCACAAAAAUAAACAAUGUACUUAUUGUCAUUCCUUGUAUGUAACAAUUUUCUAGGUGUUGUUAUUUAGCCUGAGGUGAACACUGAUCAAGCUGGUCUAUGAUCAAAGCAUUUCAGCUGUGACCUCCCAUGUCUCUGUUGGAAUAUGUAGUACUAUAUUUAUUUAAACCAUCCGAAUGUGACCGUAGCCAGUACCGCAUCGACUGGCCUCUGUGCUGUGGGCACAUAAUAAACACCAUCCGAACGUGGCCGUUCGCCAGCCUCAUCUGGCACCUGUGUCGGUGGCAAAUAAAAAGCACCCACUACACUCACGGAGUGGUUGGCAUUAGGAAGGGCAUCCAGCUGUAGAAACACUGCCAGAUCUGACUGGCCUGGUGCAGCCUUUGGGCUUCCAAGACCCCAGUUGAACCGUCCAACCCAUGCUAGCAUGGAAAGCGGACGUUAAACGAUGAUGAUGAUGAUGAUGAUGUUUUUUGAGGGAAAUUUGAAAAAUGUGGGAAAUUUGGUUACUAUUUCUUGCUAUUAGCUCUGUCUAGAUGUUGUUCGUUGAUCAACCCUCUUCUAACAUAACCUCUAGUGUUCAUCAUCAUCAUCAUUAUCACCAUGAUGAUCAUCAUCAUUUAACAUCUGUUUUCUGUGCUGGCAUGGGUUGGACAGUUUCACUGGAGCUGGCCAAAUGAAGAACUUCUCGGGCUCCAUGUCUGUUUUGGCAUGGUUUCUUUGGCUGGAAUGCCUUUCUUAAUGCCAACCACUUCAUAAAGUGUACUGGGUGUUUUUAAGCAGCAUUGGCAUGGGUGUGGCACCAACACCCUCAAGCCCACUAGAUUAGGAAUGCACAGUUGAAGAGGGAUGCAGGGAACAUGUAUGUAUGCAAGGGUAACCCUGAUUUUACUUAGCUUGAUAUAUCUUCUCAAGCACAGCAAACUGCCAGGAGUCUUGGUACUUUGUCAUCCCUUUAUGUUCUAUAUUUAAAUAAGAAAUCUUAAUUUACAUCAUUAACUGAUUUCUCUAAUUGUAAAAUUUUAUUCUGCAUUUCAUUACAAAUAUUAUGGUUUCUAAUAUGGGCACAUGGCUGCAAAUCUUUUCCCAAGAAGAGUGGAGCCUAUUAAAUGAGCUUAUAUUUAUUUUAACAAACCUGGAUGAAUCAAAAGCCAUGGUGACCUCAACAAGAUUUGAACUCAAAUCAUAAAAGGUCAUAACUAAAAUUUUGCCUAAGAGAUAUACUCUUUUACUCUCUUUUACUUGUUUCAGUCAUUUGACUGUGGCCAUGCUGGAGCACCGCCUUUAAUCGAGCAUCUCGACCCCGGGACUUAUUCUUUUGUAAGCCCAGUACUUAUUCUAUCGGUCUCUUUUGCCGAACCGCUAAGUAACGGUGACAUAAACACACCAGCAUCGGUUGUCAAGCAAUGCUAGGGGCACAAACACAGACACACACACACACACACACACACACACACACACACACACAUAUAUAUAUAUAUAUAUAUAUAUAUAUAUAUAUACAUAUAUACGAUGGGCUUCUUUCAGUUUCCGUCUACCAAAUCCACUCACAAGGCUUUGGUCGGCCCGAGGCUUAUAGUAGAAGACACUUGCCCAAGGUGCCACGCAGUGGGACUGAACCCGGAACCAUGUGGUUGGUAAACAAGCUACUUACCAUAUUUUUAGAAUUUUAAAACUUCAAAAUAAUUAAAGAUAGAAACUGUCAGCAUCAACUGAUGAUUGUAAAUAAAUUCAAGUUUAUUCAAUUAUAGUGGACCCUUUAUACUGGAGAUUUUUCCUAAAAUGGUAAUCCUUAUAUUUAAUAAUAAAUAUUUUCUAUAGAUUAUCUACAGGUGAGUUUAAAUGCAUUUGCAUUGGUUUCUGAUUUUAUGCAAGAAACAUUUCUUUCCCUUCUUUAGCUAAGAAUAAGGAACUGAUUGAUGUAGUGGGAAAUUCUGAGUAACAGCAAAUCUAUCAUCAGCUUCAAACAAAUUAAUAAAUUCUACUAAAGAUAUUGAGUAUUCUUCCUCCCAUCUUUACAUUCAAACUUGUGUGUGUGUGCGUGUGCAUGUGCAUGCAUGCAUGUGUAUAUAUAUAUGAAUCAUCAUCAUUGUCAUUUUAUAUCUGUUUUCCAUGCUAAUAUGGGCUGAGCAAGUUGCCAUAGACCAAUGCUAUUCUAGAUGGGGCAGAGGAUUAUAUCUUGCUCAUAUUUUUCACUUCUAGUUUGGUUUGGUUUGGUUUGGUUUGGUUUGGUUUCUAUGACUGAUACUUUUCCAAUCACCAAUCACUUUACAGAGUUCACCAGGUGCAUUCUAUUGUGGCACCAGCAUGUAAGAAAUUGUCAUAUUCGCUACAAGACCGUAGUGUUCUUUUGACCCUACACAUUUGCCAACUACUUCACAGAGAGCCUUGGAUGGAUUUUAUUGUGGCACCAGCACUAUAAUAAUAAUAAUAAUAAUAAUAAUAAUAAUAAUAAUAAUAAUAAUAAUAAUAAUAAUAAUAAAUAGGCGCAGGAAUGGCUGUGUGGUAAGUAGCUUGCUAACCAACCACAUGGUUCCGGGUUCAGUCCCACUGCGUGGCAUCUUGGGCAAGUGUCUUCUGCUAUAGCCUCAGGCUGACCAAUACCUUCUGAGUGGAUUUGGUAGAUGGAAACUGAAAGAAGCCUGUCGUAUAUAUGUAUAUAUAUAUGUGUGUAUGUGUAUGUGUGUAUGUUUGUGUGUCUGUGUUUGUCCCCCUAGCAUUGCUUGACAACCGAUGCUGGUGUGUUUAUGUCCCCGUCACUCAGCGGUUCGGCAAAAGAGACCGAUAGAAUAAGUACUGGGCUUACAAAGAAUAAGUCCCGGGGUCGAUUUGCUCGACUAAAGGGCAGUGCUCCAGCAUGGCUGCAGUCAACUGACUGAAACAAGGAAAAGAGUAAAAGAGAGAAUAAUAAUAAUAAUAAUAAGAAGAAGAAGAAGAAGAAUAAGAAGAAUGACAAUUCUUUCUAAUUUUGGCACAAAGCCAGCAAUUCUUAGGGGGACAGUUUUUUUUAGCUCAUUGUACCAAGGAUACAAUGUACUUAUUUUUCAUUUACCAUAGCAUUUCGAUUUCUUUUUGCUGAGUUUUAUAUUUUAUUACUUAUUCUGUAUCUGAUGUCUCCAAGACAUGUCAUGCCUAUGAUGUGGCAUGAAUUUUCCUCCAUUGUCAACCAACAUGAUAUUGGAUUUCCAAUGUUCAAUUCCUUGAUCACAUUAGAUCUGUCAGAGUCUGUGAAACGUUCAGUUCUUUGCUUCAUGAAACACUUGUUUGUGUGCUACACAUAGCAAGGCCUAUGUUUCAGGUUUCAAUUCACUUUUUUGUAACUACAUCUAUCUUUUAUCUGAAACUAUAUUCCUUGGUAUCCCGCUCAAGAACUGACUGCACAUCUUAUCCUUCCAGCUGUUUCUUUAUUUCUGUCUUUUUUGUAUAUCUUCUUAUCCUGACAGCUUUCUGUAUGUGAUAAUCUUGCCUCCCUUACUUGCCCAAGUGGUGUGUUCUUUGCAUUCUUUAUAUACCAAGUAAUACUGUUUUCCUCGGACAGAAUAUAAUCCUCACAACAUAUCAAUUCCCAUCCGCCUUUUUUUUUUGUCAAAUGCAGCCUUUCAGCAUCACUUUACAGUUGGAAUACACCAUAUAUUGAAUUUAAAUUUUGACUCAAGGCCAGGAAUUUCAGGGAAGGAGUAAGUUGAUUACAUCGACCCCAGAGUCCAACUGGUACUUAUUUUAUCAGCCCUGAUAGGAUGAAAAGCAAAUUCGAACUUGGUGGAACAUAAAGACAGACGAAAUGGCACUAAGCCUUUUGUCUGGUGUACUAAUGAUUCUACCAGCUCGCUACCUUAGAAUGCACAAUAUCUUGUCAACAGUUUCCUUGUUUUCUUGUUUGGAACUUAUUUUCCCCAUUCAGUUCAGGGCCAAUGUACCACUCUUGUUCCAUAUCUCAAGAAAGUGAUUAUCCAUGAAUUUAUUGCUUGGAAUUUAUUCUUCCCAUUAAGUUUAUUAUUAUUAUUGUUGAUGUUGUUGUUGUUAGGUUGCAUGGCCUAGUGGUUAAGGUGUUGCACUCGCAAUUGCUAGAUUGUGAUUUCAAUUCCUAGAUUGGUUGGUGCGUUGUGAUCUUGAGAAAAACACUUCGUCUCAUGUUCCUCUGCAGUUACUUUGACACCUGACAGAUGGCACACUGUGCACCUGUUUAAACAGCGAUGAUUUGAUGGAGAGAGGGAGCUCAUGUGCGGCACAAACAUUUGAUCAAUAUAAACAAAUCAAGGGCAUCCAGCCGUAGAAACACUGCCAGAUCAGACUAGGCCUGAUGCAGCCUUCUGGCUUCACAGACCCCAGUUGAACCGUCCAACCCAUGCUAGCAUGGAAAGCAGACGCUAAAUGAUGAUGAUGAUGAUUUGUACAGGUUGUUUGGCAAGAAAGCUGAACACUCAUACAUGGUCUUCGAAGGGAUAGUUUGUCAUUAUUAUAAUUAUUCACUUAAGAUCAAUGUUCCAUGCUGGUAUGAGUCAGAUGGUUUGGCAGAAUCCAGUGGAUACACAGACUUCAUUAUGUACCAAUGUCUGCUUUUGGCAUGGUUUCUAUGGCUUGAUGCAAAAGCACCCACGACACUCACGGAGUGGUUGGCGUUAGGAAGGGCAUCCAGCUGUAGAAACAUUGCCAGAUAAGACUGGAGCCUGGUGCAGCCUUCUGGCUUCCCAGAUCCCCGGUCAAACCGUCCAACCCAUGCUAGCAUGGAGAACGGACGUUAAACGAUGAUGAUGAUGAUGAUGAUGAUGAUGAUGAUGAUGAUGAUGAUGAUGAUGAUGAUGCCCUUCCUAAUGCCAACCACUUUGCAGCAUGUCCUGGGUAUUUUUUCCGUGACACUAUCACUAGUGAAAUCACCAUGCAACUUUCAAGACUUGGAGAUGAUGGUUAAAAUAUGAGAGAAAGGGCCAAAACUGAAUAGGUUUUUUUUUUUUCUGCUGUAGAGAAGUUACAUGACUACUCAUAAUUUAGAAAAGAGCAUAGAAGUGUUUGUGUGGUUGUGGAAAGUGAUAAAAAUAGUGGUGACGAGGUGUGUGGAUGAACCCUCAAGGUACAAAGUGGGUAGUAAUAAGUGGGGACAGAGCAACCAGGAAUGUGGAUGGAUGGAUGGAGGCUGCAAGAGUGUAUGUGGAAGUGAAAGAUGGGGAAUGAGUGAGUGGAGGGGAGUUAAAUGGCAGCUGUAAAGAUUAGGUAGGGUUGAAGGGUGAACUUUGUGAAUAUCCAAUGAUACAUGAGUUGCAGGAGACAAGGGAAGUAGAAGAUGGUUGGAGAUGGGGGCAAGGAAUACACAUGUGGACAUGCCUACAAGGGAUACACACGUGGACAUGCCUACAAAGUCAGAAAACAGCACAGCUCCCAUGACUUUCGGAAACAUUUUUUCACGCUCAGGGUUGCUGAAGCGUGGAAUAAACUGCCUGCAUCAGUUGUUGACUGCCAUGACACUGCAUCCUUUAAGGCCCUCAUGCUUCCCGAAAUCCGCCGAAACUACACCUGAUUAUAUAUACACUUUAGAUGAGUUGUAGUGCACCUGAGCACUGUACACAAUUAUUAUUAUUAUUAUUAUUAUUAUUAUUAUUAUUAUUAUUAUUAUUAUUAUUAAUAGUAAUGAUGAUAUAGAAGAUAGGGGAAGGAUGAAAGACAGAUGGUAUACGGUUGGGUAAGUUUCAGGAGUGUGGGGAAGAAAGAGAGGGACAGAUGCAUUGCAUGAGGGGAAUGAGGGACAUGUAUCUGUGGAAAAGAAGAGAUAAUUUGAUGGCUUAGUGGGGCAGGGUGAUCAAUGUAAAGUGUGAGUGGAGAGAGCAUUUUUAAUAGAUGAAGAGUGGUUAACAACUGAAAUGGUUCUGGGUAGUAAGAAAAAUAAGUGGUAUUAAAAAAAAAAAGCUGCACUUAAAGAUGGGUGAUGGAAAUGUCUUGAGAAGGAAAUUAGAGAAAGGGCUCAAUUGUGUGCAAAACAUAGAUACAAAAUGCUUCCAGAAUUCAGGUACACUGAAGUGGGUGGGUCUUCUUCUUCUUAGGAACCACAUCACCAAUCAUCCCGUUUUUUUUUCUUAUUUUUCUUUUUUUUUUCUAUCAUUAUCAUGUUAAUGGUGGUAAAUUGGUAGAAUUGCUUCAGUGUCAGAAAAAACGAUUUGCAGUAUUUGUUAUGGCCCUUUACAUUCUGAGUUAAAAACCUGUAAAAUAAAUUCUACAUUUUAUCCCUUAAGUAAGUCGAUAAAGAAAAGUACCAGGAUGUAUUAUGGUCGAUGGUAUCAAUUAGCUCCCUCCCUUCAAAAAUUGCUGACCUUGUGUCUAGUUUAGAAACUCUUGACGCUUUAUAUCUUUGAGUUGAAAUCCUGCUUAGGUGAAUUUUGUCUUUCAUUCUUCAUAGUUGAUUAAAUAAAGUACCAGUCAAAAAACGGGAGCAAUCGUAUCGACUAACCCCUUUCUCUCAAAACUGCUGGCUUUCUGCCUAACUUGACAAUGUAAAAGAAAUUAUCAUAAUUAUCUUCUUCAUCAUUAUUCUAUAGUUAACAUGUACAGUCAACAUGUAUUGUUUUGCUGUAUCACUUUACAUUAAUGAUUCAAUAAAAAUGGUACAUUGAGAAUUUUCUUUGAAAUAUCAAAUAUCAUUUGCGACACAUUGUGUGUAUCUGUGUGUGUGUGUGUGUGUGUGUGUGUGUGUGUGUGUGCGUGCUUGUACAUCUGUGUAUGUGUAUGUAUAAAAUAAUGCACAGCAAAUGCAUAUAUUUUUAUUCUCAUAUAUUUGGACUUGAGUGAAUGAUUAAAUUAUGUAUAAUUCAUACCUGUCUUUCUGUCUACCUAUCUAUCUAACCAUCUAUUUAUCUGUCUGUCUGUCUGUCUCUCUCUUUCUCUCUCUCUCUUUAUAUAUAUAUAGAGAGAGAGAGAGAGAGAGAGAGAGAGAAACUAGUAAAGUUUAUCUUCAUAUACUUGUGUAUGAGUGUACAACUAAAUUUUGUAUUAUACAUGUAUGUGUAGGCCUGUUGCAUAUGUAUGCAUAUGUGUGCAUGCAUAUGUACAAGUGCACAUUAUGAAUGCAUGCAUGCUAGCUCCAGAAUUCUUCUCUGCACAUACAUUUUUCUGCAGCCGUCAACUUGCAACUGUGCAAGAAGGACAUUUAGCACGUCCAUGUAAGUAGUUUUGGAGGACAUGACAGCAACGGAUACAAUACAUAACCUCCUGUCCAAUAAAAAGAAAAUUACCAAUUAUAAUAUUUAUGAAAUUAUAUAUAUGCUAGCAGUAUCGCCCGGCGUUGCUCGGGUUUGUAAGGGAAAUAACUAUAUAAGCAUUUUUAGAGAGUUAUAGCAAAAAAAUGCAUUAAAAAUGGAAAAAAAAUGAUGGUAAAUUUUUUUUAAAUCGUUGACUCAUCGUAGACAUUUUUAGAGAGUUACUUCCCUUAUAUAAUAGCGAAAAAAUGCAUUAAAAUGGAAAAAAAUUAUGGUAAAUUAUUUUUAAAAUCGUAGACUCAUCGUAGACGCGCACUAAUACCCAGAAGGGCUCGAUAUGAAUCACGACUAUAAGAUACCCGCUUUUGGUUAAACUGCACCGCAAAAUGUGGGAGUAGUUAGGAAUCUAAAUCGUAGGAGACAGACAGCACACAACCUCACUUUUAUAUAUAAAGAUAUAUAUAUAUAUAUAUAUAUAUAUAUAUAUACAUACACACACAAGCAAUUAAGAUGUGUGUACGUGAAUGCAAGCAGUCCAGUUGUAUUGAUAUAAGUUAAAAGUGGUGUUUGACAUAUCAUCGGCUAAAACCAUAAACAGCCUUGACCUUAACUGCCAUCUUGCCUUGCCUUUUUAGUUAUUACAACUUGCCAACCAUAGAAUGUAGAACAAGCUUGGCUUCAAACAACAUACUUGUUGGCUCCAGAAAUCAAUAACCUACAGAUAUUUUUCACCAGUGCUAAUGCUAUGACUAUUCAAGCAGAAAUGGAACAGCCUAGACGUCAGUCGCAACAUCAGAUUGCUACUGCAGCUAGUGUCAUUACUACUACUACUGCUGCCGCUGCUACCGCUGCUACCGCUGCUACUGAUUGCUGCUGUUAUUGUUGCAAAUUGCUGCUACUGUUACAAAUCUUCCUACUGUACACAUACACUUGGAGCAACUGCAAAACUACUUAUGCCAUUUUUAAAAAAAUCAAUAGAUCAAAACUGAUCAAAUAACCCCCGUCGUACAUCCCACUCCUUUUUUCGAUUUUUUUUUUUUUUUUUUUUUUGGUUAGCAUAUUAACAAUUUUGAAUGUCUCAUAUGAUAAAGAACUGAGAUGAGAGAAAGGAGGGGGACCAUGGGGAUGUGGGGGGUGGGGGUGAGAAUGAUGAAUUCUUUUCUUCCCAUGACUGUCUGUGGAAAUAUCUCUAUUAUGAGACUAUGUUUUAAAAAAGCCAUUGGUAGCACCAGAAAGAGAAGAAAUAUCAUAGAAAUAAUGUGUUAUAUAUAACUGUGUCCUAUUGAUUUCCAUAUGCUUUUUAAUAUGAUAAUAGAAGGGAGGAUAAUACUCAUGGAUGGAUUUCAUCUUCAUCCUCCCUCUCUCUCUCUCUCUAUCUCUCUCCUCCUAUACACACACACACACACAUAUAUAUGCACAUACAUACAUACAUACAUACAUACAUAUGAAAUCUGUAAUUGGUACCAGAGCAUGCAUAAUAAAUUUGAUGUCUUAAAAAUCAUGUUUCUUUCAUAGAACUACUUCAUAUAAUGAUUGAUUUUUACAUUGAAAUAAUUGUUAUAGAAAUAAUCAAUAAUAACAAUACCAUAUAUGGAAAUGUAAGUGCUUAAUAUGUUGUGUGCCUCCCUUCCCCUCCCUCAUUCAUCAUGAUCAUUCUAUGCUGACAAUAUUAUCAUGAAAAUUGUGAUUAUGCAUGGAAAGAACGUAUGACGUAAUGGAAAAAUUUCAUCUCCUACUUUUCUACUGCAGUACAAUACUACAUUAGUGCCUCUUCUUCCUACUCAUCAUAAAUAGCAUUAUAGUUUUGUUUUGUUGUUGUGGGUUUUUUUUUGUGUGUGUCUUAAGCUGCAAAUAAGAAUAUUCCUUUCCUAUCCGAUCCGAUCCAUAAAGAAUAGUAGGCAACGCAGAUCCCAGCCAUAAUAUAUAUAUAUAUAUAUAUAUAUUGGCAAAAUGAAUAAAGACUCUGUGAGUGGGGUAUACGUAUAUAUAUAUAUAUAUAUAUAUAUAUAUAUAUAUAUAUGUAUCUAUGUAUGUAUCUAUGUAUGUAUGUAUGUGUGUGUGUAUGUAUUCAUAGCUAGCUCACUGAGUUUGUAUCCAUUUUACUAAAAUUCUUGGGGGUUUUUAGCGCAGAUGUGGUUGUGAUGCGAUCAGAUUUAGAUUUAAUUAUAUUGUAAAAAUAUUAAUGACUACUACUACUACUACAACUUCUUCUUCUUCUUCUUCUUCUUCUUCUUCUUCUUCUUCUUCUUCUUCUUCUUCUACUCAUCAUCAUCAUCAUCAUCAUCAUCACUUAUUUAUAUUUUAUUCACAGCAGCUCCAAAAGUGUAUCUGUCAGACUACUUUCAAUAGUAGUGAAUUAAAGUCCAUGCUGAAAAAAAUUUGUAGAUUUCUCUUUAGAAUAUUCUUUUGUAAAUACACAUCACAUUUGUUUAACCCUUGCUGAAAAUAUUUUAUGUGAAGGUCAUUCACAGUCAGCCGCAGAAAUAAAUUAAAUACAAAAUAAUUAUAACAUUCUUAAUGGAAUUAUGACUUGUGACCAGUUUUUUUUCCUUUUAUCUUUUUCUUUUUUUUUUAUAAUUUAACUCUUGCAUUUGUGAAGAAAUCAUUAAUUAUUGAAAAUUUUUCUAAAAUUUGUAUUAGCAAAAUCUGACAAAGUAAAUAACAACAAACCUACUCUAUUUAGUGAGAAAUCCUGUACAAUUCUCAUUUACUGUUCUAUUUCUUUGACAAUUAUCUCCAUCUUUGAAUAAUUUAUCUCCUGUUUACAUCAACCUUUCCAUGGAACUUUAUUUUUUCAUCAAAUGUUUACUUUCUGUAAUUCAAAAUUUGUCCUUCAACUAAAUAGCCUUUGUGAAAACUAUCAGAAAAUUUACCUCCCCCUCUUUGAAAAUGCCUGUUUCACCAUGGUUGAACAUUUCAAGUGAAAUACCCCGAUAGUUGUUUUAACAAUUCUUGUUUAGACGUAAAACAUAUCAGAACAUAACUAAGCAAUUUGUUUUGCCUCUUUACAUUUGGAGUUCAAAUUCUGUCUGGAUCAACUUGAAGAAAGAAAGGACAGAUGCAAUGCAUGAGGUGUAUAUAUACACACAAACAGAGAGAGAGAGAGAGAGAAACAUACAUGCAUACAUGCGAGCAUAUAUACAUACAUAUACAUACAUACAUUCAUACAUACAUACAUUCAUACAUAUACACCUGUAUGAGUUCAUAUAUGAGUUUACUGAGAAAUAUUUUGGGCAAGUGUCUAUUAUAGUCUGGGCCAACCAAAGCCUUAUGAGUGGAUUUGUUGGGAGGAAACUGAAAGAAGCCUUCCAUGUGUGUAUAUGUGUGUGUGUGCAUGUGCGCAUGUACUCAUGUAUGAACACUUGUGUGUGCCCUUCUCUUGACAUCAUGGGAUUGCUUUAAAUGAGCAUCAUCAUCAUCAUCAUACAAACAAUAUUGUUCACUUCUAGUCAUCUGUGAAAACAUGGUUGGCUAUGGGUAAAUAUGACCUUAUUUGGAAACAGGUCAGGGUUGAUGAUAUGAAAUCUACUUUAAUGAAUUUCAUAUGACUUAUACAAGAAAGCAAAAUUGGAUGUUAAAAUGGUUGUGUGUGUGUGGGUGUUGGGUCACCAAGUAAAACUAAGCAAGGUGAAACAUGAAUGCUUUUUUGGGGGGUUCUUUGAAGAAGAAUCCUCUAAAGUUAAUAAUGCUGUGGUGAAAGAGGCUACAGCAGAUAGUAACAGGACAAUCCUUCAUUUUCUGGCCCUGGACUGAGAGACUGUCUGAAACCUAUUCUUAUAGACACUGUAUGUUAUUGUGUAUGUGUGUGUGUGUGUGUGUGUGUAUGCUUAUAUACGUGUGUAUAUAUAUCAUCAACAUCACCAAUGUGUCAUUUUUUUUUUCCAUGCUGGAAUAGAUCAGAUGAAACUUAGGCAGAAUUUUUUUAUGGUUGGAUGCUCUUCCUGUAGCCAACACACCUGCUCCCAAGAGAAGUAAUAUUAGUUUCAGAUUUUGACACAACCCCAGUAACUUUGAGUGAAGGGGUAAGUCAAUUUCAUCAGUCCUAGUGGUCAACUGGUUCGUAUUUUAUCAAACCUGAAAGGAUGAAGGACAAAGUUGACCUCAGCAGAAUUUGAACUCAGAACAUAAAGAUGGAUGAAAUACUACUAAUCAUUUUGCUGGCACACUAACCAGGGCUGUGGAGUCAAAACAAAACACUUUGAUUCUGACUCCUCUACUAUAGGCACCUUCGACUCUGACUCUUCUUUAUUUAAUUAAGUGAAUGUGGUCUACAUAUCUCAUAAAGGAUAUGCAUACACUUGUACUUUGAAUAGGCCUAUAUGUUAUAACUGGUUUUUAUUAAAGAAUAAAGAUACUGUGAGCUGGAGUCAGUAUAGUUUUACUGACUCCGACUCCAGCUACCCCUUAAUUGUUUCUGACUCCGACUCCAUAGCCUUGGUGCUAAUGAUUCUGCCAGCUCACUGCCUUAAAGAAUGGUAAUAAUGAGAGAUUGUUAGACUAAAGGAACUCUGACUUUAGUUCAAUCAUGCUGGUUCAUCCUACAUGAUUAUUUCUACAUGAUGAACCUCAUCUACAAUUCAUGUAAAACAGAUUCAGUUUUGAUCUAAAUAUUGCUCAUUGAAUGUGGUCUACAUGCCUCAUAAAGGAACAGUAAAUGGUGGUGCCCCAGCAUGGCCACAGCUCGUGAGCUGGAACUAGAUAAAAUAAAAAAAUAAAAAAUUUUAAAAAUUGGAAUUAUUAGUAUUUCACUUAAUUUGGGUGUGUGUGUAACUUAAGGGAGAUUUUUUCAGUUACAUAUAAACAUAUUGACCUUUAAUCAGAAUUAUUAGAAUAUAUAUAUAUAUAUAUAGUGUGUGUGUGUAACAAACGCAUAUUGAAAUUUAAAAUUUAAAAGUCAAUAUUAGGUCAGAUGUAGGUCUUUUGGUACAAUGUACUUAUAGGGUAACCUGAUUCUGGUUUUCUUAAUCCUAAGUUGCUAAUUUAGGAAGGUAUAAUUUUGCUGGCUCACCUUAUGAGAAUGUGAGCAUUUAAUUCAGUCUAAUGAGGCUUAGGGUUUAAGUAAACAUAAAAUUUCAAAAUAUAAUUUAAAGAUAAACCAAAAAUAGAUAUUGUCUUCAUGCAUACACAAAUGUGUAUACAAACACAUGCACACACACGUUCACACAUAUGCACACAUAUGCUCAUACAUACGUACACAUAUAUGUACAUAUGUAUAUACAUGCAAACAAGCAUAUACACAACACACACAUAUGCCCAGCAUUAACUUCAUCCAGUAGUCUUAAUCUUUUAGUUUAGAUGGCUCAGGAUAACUGCCCCUUCUCAGAUUAACUUACAUUAUAUAGAUAUGUGUAUAUCUGUAUUUAUACACACAUACAUACAUGCAUAUAUAUAGGUGUAUGUGUAUGUAAAUAUAUAUAUAUAUAUAUAUAUAUAUAUAUAUAUAUAUAUAUAUAUAUAUAUAUGUAUAUAUAUAUAUAUGUAUAUACACACACAUGUAUGUAUACAUCUAUAUGUGUAACUGUAUAUAUAUGUAUGUAUAUAUGUAUAUAUAUAUAUAUAUGUAUAUGUAUAUAUGUAUAUAUGUAUGUAUAUAUGCAUAUAUAUGUAUAUAUAUGUGUACAUAUAUGUAUAUAUGUGUGUAUAUAUGUGUGUGUAUAUAUAUAUGUAUAUAUAUAUGUAUGUAUAUAUAUGUGUGUGUGUAUGUAUAUAUAUUUCUAUGUUUUUAUAUAUGAAUAUGUAUAUAUAUAUAUAUAUAUAUAUGUAUAUAUAUAUGCAUAAAUGUAUGUGUGUGUAUAUAUGUGUAUAUAUAUGUAUUUAUAUAUAAAUAUGUAUAUAUAUGUAUAUAUACCUAUAUGCAUAUAUGCAUAUAUAUGCAUAAAUGUGUGUGUGUGUGUAUACAUAUGUAUAUAGGUGUUUAUAUAUUUGUGAAAAUACAUAUCAUUCUCUUUGUAUAUAUAUAUGUAUAUUUGUGUGUAUAUAUAUAAAUAUGUAAAAAUGUAUAUAUAAAUGUAUAUCUCUCUGAAUAUAUGUGUAUGUCUAUGUAUGAUAAUAAUGAUGUAAUGUAAUAAUAUAAUAAUAAUAAACUUAUGGCAUAUAGUACCUAGAUGCACUGCAACUCAUCAGAGAUGGUUAAAGAAGGGGCAGAACGCAGACAUAUAAACCAAUUAAAGAAAGACAGCAAUAAAUGUUAGAAUUAAUUCCAAAUUACACAUAAAACACAUAAAGAUAGAACAGUGAAUAUUUAAAGGGUAUAUAUUUUUGCAUAUCUAUCUGUGUGUCUGUCUAUCUAUCUAUCAGCAUAUAUAUAUUUAAGUAGGUGAAUGAAUUAUCCUAGCAUGGAAAAUUUGGUUAAUCAAAAAGUUUUUGUUCGUCUUGAGGCUGAAAGAGGCUCUUUAUCUUUCCUGAUGAGAAGAUGACAUAAUGCACCCUUUAUUCCUUCAGAAUUAAGAGUAUGCCGUCUUCGAAACAUGUGUCGAGAGUAAAGGAAUUUUGUUAAAAUCUUCGUUCGACUCCAUUCUUUCAUUUAUAUAUAUAUAUAUAUAUAUAUAUACACAUAUACACACAUAUAUAUAUUAUAUACAUGUAUGAUAUAUAAAUGAAAUAUAAAGGGUAGAGAAAGACAGACAGACAGACACACACACACACAUACACACACACACUAUACAACAUACAUGUAUUUGCUUUGCAAUCUUCAAAGCCUCCUACAGAGUAUAAUUUGGGUUGACCAAUACCGUGGAACCUAUGUUGGUUGAUAAGAAAUAUAUGAAAACUCUUCAUACACACAUGCAUGCUUACUUACAAGCAUACAUACAUGCAUCCAUCCAUACAUACAUACAUACAUACAUACAUACAUACAUACAUACAUACAUACAUACAUACAUACAUACAUACAUGCAUGCAUGCAUACAUACAUACAUACAUACAUACAUACAUACAUACAUACAUACAUGCAUGCAUGCAUACAUACAUACAUACAUACAUACAUACAUACAUUUCUUUCUGCGUCUUUAUAAUUUAUGCCAUCCAACAAAAACUGUAUCUGUAUUUAUGUAUCUCGUGUAUCUGGGUGAUAAAUAAAAUUGCAAAAAUUAGUACCAGUUUUAGAAAUAAGCAGAAACACAACCGACAACAGAAUGUAUAGAAGGGGUUGAUCUAGGCCCAUCAACUGUAAUCCUGUAGCGAUGGAAUCAAUUGUGUGUUGUUACCCCUUCUCAUACAUUCUGCUAUUGGUUGUGCAUCCACUACGGCAAGAUAGAAAUUUGCAAUUUACAGCUAUUUGAUCCUUGUUCCUGCGCUUAUAAAAUGAGCAAAUUAUAAAACUUGACAAUAUGACUGACUCAGACCCCCUGCAAAGUGUAGUCUAGCAUGGCCACAAUUUUAAUGACUGAUAAAAAUAUUCUUUUACCCAUUUACUUUUUUCUUUCACUUAUAUAUAUAUAUAUAUAUAUGACUGACCUGAUCACUGGAAAAUGAUAAUUUUACAUACACACGUGUGCAUGUGUGUACAUUUGAGCAGUAAAGCUGAUUGAACGAAACCUUGGUUCAAGUGGUCACGUGUGUAACCCAUUUUAUCUUAUAUUUGAAAAAAGCCUCCCACCUAUACACCAACCAUAUAGAACAUGUAUAGCUGAUAAACAGACCAUUGAAGAACUAGACAAUAGAUUAUUAGCUGAUAUCUCUCACACUGGAGCUAUAGUAAAUCUAUGGAGAAAUACUUAACUCUUCAACGUCCUGGUCAUCUUAGUUGUGAUUAGGUACCAUAAGGUACAAAAGUUUAGUGGAUAUGGUACCAUCGACCAGAUAAUGAAUUGGCAGUUCAUAACUCUGGCAGUGACAUAGAAGUCUUCUGUGGUCAAGGCACUUAAUGCUCAAAUGGUCCAGUGAAAUUAGUUAUCACACAGAUUUUUUUUGUCUUCAUCUGAAGAGGUAGCAGUACCCGUCCAUGACCUUUGUAGUCUAAUUUUCAAGAUAGAUACCACUGAAGUCCAACUUGAACAUGUAUUAGGUCAUCAACUGGGCAAUAGGAGGGUUUUUUGUAUUUGUGGUGCUGAUAGCAUAUGAGUGAGUGGAUGGUGGGUCAGAUAAAUGUGACAAUAAAUAUAGGAAUUGUCCAUUAAAAUACUUCCUGUUACAUUUUUCAUGAAAUGUAGCAUAAACUUUUACAAUUACAUACAUCUAAUUUUGAAGGUGAAAUGUUUGUUUUUCCUAUGAUUUUGAAGGAAUCAGACCAACAAAGCCAUUGAAAGUUGCUCAUUUUUUUUAAGCCCCUACUUGCAACUGACAAUAUUUGUAAUUGUAAGAAUGACUACAAGUGUAAUGCUCCUACUUAGUUUUUUACUAAGUGUUGAUAGACUAUUGCACUUGUCUCACUUUGAAGAUGAAAUGUUUUGGUUUUGAUGUGUUUUGAACAAAUCUAACCAUUUAAAAAUCGUUGGAAAUAACUCAUAAAUUGCUCCCUGCAAAUAACAACAGGUGUAAUUGUAAAAAUUUUCUUAAUCUAUGAAAUGGUACACAUAAGAAAAUCCUUUUUGCUGAGUGAAUAAAAAAUGCCAAUUAAUGAUCAAAGAACUUGGUUUAGUUCUUCAAUAAGUACACAAAUUAAAUCUAAGAGAUAAAGAAUCUUUGAACCAUCAAAAAAUAUGAAACAAAUGUGACAAUAAAGAAAAGAAAAUUUAAUGCAAACUGUUGAUGUAUUAAUGAUUGAGACCUGACAUUGUUUAUUGUUUGAAAGCUCUUCAGUACUUCAUUUAGGAAAAUCAUUGUUCAUACAAAUAAAUGCUGCCAUCCUGGUAAUGUACUUAUAAUAUAAUAUAUAAUAUAAUGAAAUUAUUGUAUACAGUGCUCAGGUGCACCACAACUUGUCAGAAAGUGCAUAUAAAGUACAUGCAGUAAUGUACAAAUGUCUGGAAAGCGAACAAUGUAUGAGUCAGAUACAUGCUUGUGUUUGUAUGGAGGGGAGAAAAUCAGGUGUAGUGUUGGCGAAUCUCAGAAAGCAUGGAAGUUUUGAAGGAUACAUUGCUCCGACAACUAAUGACUGAUGCCUGCAGUUUGUUCCAUGCUUCAGCAACUCUCAGCGUGAAAAAAUGUUUCCUGAAGUCAUGGGAGCUGUGCUGUUUUCUUACUUUGUAAAUAUGUCCAUGGGUGUUAGAUGGGUAGAGUUUGAAAAGGUGCUCAGAGUUAUUGUUUGUACGGGUGGAGUUUGAAAAGGUGCUCAGAGUUAUUGUUAUGAAAUGAUGCAUCACUAUCCAUAUGGAUUAACUAGUCAUCCACUGACUUUGAUGUAGUUUUGUGCUAUCAAGUUCAUUUGACUGCUUGUGACACUUUUGUAUCAUCAGCUCAGAUGGUGAGAGUGGCUGACUGUAUGACUGUUGGCAUGUUUGAGAGAUCCACCUCAAACAAUCAUGGUCUCAGUACAGU